AGAUGUUGUACUAUCUGACAUUUAAGAAUUCUAGGGUAGAAUAUUCCUUUUUAUGCUAUCUUUGUGCAUUAUAUAUAAAGAAUAGGCACUCACUCACUCAUAGGGAGAUUACAUCGGCAUAUGCAUUCUAAAAGCCUCUUUGAAUACAAGGAAUUCUGAAAAAAGCACCUCCAUUUUCCUACUGAUUUCUUUCUUUUUUCUGGGUCUCAAAACUAUAUUUAGAAGUAGAAAAUAGUUCUUUAUGGGUAUGUUUUGCUAUUUCUAUUAUUAAUAAGAUCGUUUAGCUCAACUUACCUUGGUUUUGUUGCUGCUGGUUGCUGCUGCUGUUGUUCUACUAUUUAUAAUUUUCUUUACUUCUUCUCUAAAGCAAGAUAUUUGUUUCUAUUUGUCUAUCUUGCUGUAAUCAGGUAUUCACCUUAAAUCUGAGUUUAUUUUGACAUGAAUGAGUUGGUUUUUUACUUGUUCCAUGAAAUUUUUUGGUUUUUCAUCAUCAUUCCCUUAUGCUUAUUGUGUAAACUGGUAGCCCUUGACUUAAUUAAAUUCAUGUGUAUUUCUUCUGUUUAUUUGGUUUUGAAAUAAAGAAAAUCAGAAUACUUUUGCUCUACUAUUUGGUCACCUGAAUUAGUGUGGUUAUGUUGAGAGUUGUCGAACUAUCUCAUGUUCCGCUUGAUUAUGUUGUGAUUUGGGUCUGUUUUCAGAGUUGAUAUUUCAUGUAUAAACUAGCUGAUUGUAAGUUGGAAGGUAACCAAUAUUGUUUAAUUCUAAAUGUUAAUGUAGAUAACUAUUAACAACACUUGGAGUAUGUGAUGUCAACUGUUAAAUUUUGUAUAGUUUCAGCCUUGUUUGAACCUUGCAGAAUCAGUAUUCUUUACUAUAAAGUGGUUUCGUUGAAGUAUAUGGAUUUUUAUUGAGUCUGAGAAGGCUUAGUGCUGGCUACAUGGCUGUUGCUUGCUAAUCUGACCACCAGUUGGAUCAGAUCGGUGAAUUUAAGUCUAAAAGGUGGAUUUGGAGUCAUCCAUGGAAGGGGUUUAAACACAAGAUUGGUUAUUCCAUUUUCAGUUUAAUUAGCCUUAUGAACAAUCUAUGUAAAUAUUUAAAGAUUCAUGUCUAUUAUCCCUCUUGAUGAUUGUAUUAUGAUUCGCGAGAUUUGUAAAUAUUAGAAAUGUAAUUCGUUUUUCUUGCCUUAGAUCAGUAUAAAUAGUUCAGCUGUUCAUCUUCUUUGUUUCGGCAUCUUUUUUCUUUAAAUCUGGAAAUUUGAAUGGAUUAAGACAGAUUUUUGCUUAGUACUGCAUUGUUCUGAUUAGGACUUAAUGCAUUGGGCUUCACUGCAAGCCCACUUGCAGUCACGUUUUAGACCCUUUGGAGGUCAAUCGCUACUAUGUUACAAUAAUGUUAUCAUGAGAUAAAUUCUCAUUUAAAAUAAAUAAUUGAAAGCAACCCGUUUCUUAAUUUAAUUCAAUUAAUUUUUUAAGUGUUCAAUAUUCUGAUAGUCCAUAUAAGUUCGCUUUGAGAUUCACCUUGUUUAAUGUAUUCCUAAUCCAGAAUAACUCUAUAGCUAUAGAUAUCCUUAUGCUUAGUCGCAAACCUUAGAAAAAUAACCAAUUUAUGAACAUCCGUAGUUUGCUUUUGGCACAUUUAUUAUAAAUCAUUGUGGCUAUGGGAACGGUUCCCAUGGCAUAGUCGUGAUACACAAUUCCCAAAUUCGGGUGUGCAUUUCAUGUGACCCGAUCCUAACAACUUCGAAUAAUAAUAAAAUAAAUAUGUCGCGAAUCGCGGGUGCAUUUCAUGUAGCGUGGUUUGCGGUGUGUUCCAAAAUAGCAAGUGUACGACAAUCGUAACUUGUUCAAGAAACAAUUCCAUAAAUCCUAAAAAAAACCGUUUAAAAUAAUUAAAAGUGGUUAUAGGGUUAAAAAUGCACAAUAGGCUUUAAAACAUGUAAUUAAUCAGAUAAUUAGGCCAAUUAUUAAUAGUUAAGCGGUCGUGCUAGAACCACGGAACCCAGAAAUGUCUAACACCUUCUCUCGGAUUAACAGAAUUCCUUACCUAGUUUUUCUGGUUUCACAGACUUUUAAAUAAAGUCAAAAUUUUCCUCGAUUUGGGAUUUAAUAUAAAUCGGUGACUUGGGACACCAAAUAAACUAUUCCAAGUGGCGACUCUGAAUAAAUAAAAUAAUCCCAUUUCGAUUAUGUCACUUUAAUUAGAAAAACUCCUUUAUAUCCCCUCGAGUAAAAAAGGAGGUGUGACAGCUCUGGUGACUCUGCUGGGGAAUCAAAACCCAGAACUUUUGGUUCAGGGUUUAAGAAUUCGAAUCUUAGAAUAACUGUUAUACUUGGCUUUAUUUUUAUUUGAUUUUUAUAUGUUUGUGCCUAAUGUGUUAAAUGCCACUUUUUACCACUUUGAUAUUGUCUGAAAUGCAUAUAAAUUGUUACGAAACCUUCUUCUCUCUGAGUCUUCUAAAUCAUCUGGGAAGUGUGCACUUUGUGUGACUUCUUUUCUGUUAGAGUCAUAUCCCAAUUUUAGAAUGAGGCUCGGACAAGUUGCAAAGCCGAUGAAGCUUCUAUACUCUCGGUACGCUGCCCCCCCUCCCCCCCGACUCGAGCUGUCCACUCGGUUAAGCCAGGUCUAGAACAAAUACACCUAUGGUUUUAAACCUAGAAUAACAUAGCCUCAUACCGGAUCCCUAGUAGGAACGCUUGUAUGCAUCACAUGCAUUUGACUUUAGGGACUCAACACAGGGGUUGGGUCCGUCUAGGACAGGUGCACCCGAAAUCAAAAGACCAUCCCAGGACACUUAUUUGCUUCGGAUUGCAUGUUUACCGGCUUCUAUAAUAAGGGAGAAAAAGUUGGAAAAAUCAAAUUGAGGUAUGAGAGAGAUAAUUACCCGCCUUUGCAAAUUUGAUGUCCAAAAUAUACCGAAACUCUGCUAAAAUUUUGAUAAAAAAGAGAGAAAAAGAUAAAGGAAAAAAGGGGAAAUUGUUUCAAAAUAUUUCAUAUUUUUCUAUUUGCGUCAAAGCUUCCGGACUACGCAGGUUUGAUUCUCAUCGGAUGUGGGAUACGUAGGCAACCCUCAUCGGGUCCAACCCCGUUUUUUGCAAAAUAACCCAAAAAUAUGAAACAUUGUCAUUUUUUGUCAUAAAUAAAGUUAGGUGAUGCCGUUUUUGUCUAAAUAACCAGAAAUAUCCCGACAUGGCACCGGAAGGCUAUUUUUGCAAGAAUAGCCACCUAUGUUUUUUUAAAUGUUUGGCCAAUUAGCAAACACAGCCCUAAAAUCAUCCUUCCUGAAGUGCUGAAGGGCCGUAUUUGCAAAGGUGGUUUGUUUUGAGCAAUUUGUUUGAGUCGCAAUUUUGCAAAAAAUUAAUAAUCUUCCUUUUUGGAUCAAAAUAAAUUAUGGGUUUUUAACCGAUCACUUUAAAUAAAUGUGCAGGAUAAGCACUAUUGAAAAUAAACCUUUCAAAGUUGUAGAGGAAAUCCCGAUAGGACUCCAUAUGUGGUGGAAUGACCUAGGGGAGGUUAGAAGAGCUGUUGCGAUAAAAGCUUUAGGCGGGCUCGCUGGUCUCUUGAAGAUUAAACCAAGGGUGGACAUAAUUGAAGCUUUGAUACCCUUUUGGGACCCGACGCACAUUGUGUUCCAAUUCUCUGGUUUUGAGUUAACCCUUACACUUGAGGAGAUAGCAAGCUAUGUUGGCUUUAACGAGAAUCCCAGGAGCCGAUACCCAGUGGCACCAAGGGCUGUAACCCCUCACAAGUUUCUAGAUCUUCUGAGUAUUAGUCAGGAAGUCAAAGAUGGAAAUUUGGCUGAAGGAUUUUGCACAUUCUACUUCCUAUACCACCGUUAUGGGGAUCCCCACAGUUUUGAGGCUCCAGAUACCGGUUUAAGUCAUCAAGGGAAUAAAGGAAAAUGGGAAGCACGCUGAGGACUGGCCUUUGUAGUGGAAUUCUUAGGCACCCUAAUCUGCCCAAGGAGUGAUGGACGUAUAGAGUUGGGGCUCGUAGGAGUGGCUAACUUCAUGAUCAAAAAGGCUAAUGACACUAUUAUACCAAUGGCCCUGAUAGACAAUUACCGUGCUUUAACUGUUUGUCGAGUUGGGGGAAAGUUUUUUGAAGGUUGUAACAUGCAUUUACAACUCUGGAUGGAAGAACAUUUUUGUCGUCGUCGGGGGAACAUGAAUUAUGGUCUGACUAGUCUUAACUGCAUUGAAGAGCACGAAAACUGGGUGGAUGGUCAUGAGUUUCCCGAAGGUACAGAGGCAUGGUUCUCACAUUUGAGUUCUUUGACUGCAAGCAAAAUUGAGUGGACAUUCAGUUGGCUCUCGGUCAACGAAGUUAUUUAUAUGUUGGCCGGAGUGUGAUUUUUUUUUUAUUAAUGGGUCUUCAGAGUAUUCAGCCGUAUGCUCCAUACAAGGUUCUAUAUCAACUGGGCAGGUACCAAACUGUCCCUCAUGAUAAAGAUUUGAGUCGACAAGUCAUUGAACUAGGUCCAAAAGCUGCAUUCCCGGAAGAAAAGGUUCGCCAUAUUUGGCAUCAAUGUAGGUUUCUAGAGCCACAGACUCGAGUACGGGAUUUGUCCAAGGGUGAGGUAGAGCAUAGCUACAUGACCUGGUGUGGUAAAAGGGUUCAGGUCCAUCAAGAGCCUAAAAAGCCCGCUAGAAGGCCCCACGUACAACAGUUCACUAAUGGGGCAUAAGAACAAUGGAAUUGGUUAGCAAAAGAGAAAAGCUACAGGGUUACGAUAAGCAAAUUAGAAGGGCAAAUCAGAGAUCUUAAAUUUGAUAGUAGUGUGCAGGCCGCUGCUGAUGAAGGAGAGAAGAAAAGUUGGCCCGAGAAAACGAAGCCCUCCGAGCCCAGAUUCAAAGGAUGAAGAUAACUACUGAAAACUCGAGAAGGAGCCAAAUAGAUCAAAGACUUAUAAACGGUCUUAGGCAGAAAGUAUGUGAGUAUGGGAAUGAUUUGGAAAAGUCCGAAGGUAGACUGGCAGGAGCCCGAGAAAAGUUGGUGAAGAACGUAGAAGGCCAGGCAGGGUUUGUUCAGCAAUUAAAAGAAAAAUAUGAUAGAGAGGUCGCAAAUCUAAAGAAAAAGCUAACUACCCUCGAGAAUGAAAUGGCUCAGCAGACAAAGAACUUCAAGGCAGAGUGGGAACAUUGUUAUGCAUUGAUGUCUCGACUGGAAGAGGACAUGCAACAGUUGCAGGAACAAAGCCAUAAUGAAACCCAAGUUCUGGAAGCUAGAUCUCAACAAGUUGGACGCCUGCUCCAAGAGAAAGGCAUCAUUAGAGAAAUGAUUAGAGGAAUUGCUGAUUAUAUCAUCAUGAAAUGCCAUGAGUGUAAGGAUAUGACUAGAUCUACUUUCUUCGCCGUUGUGAUGACUUUUGUUUGCUAGAUAAUGGAUGACUUGGAUCGCCUCCAAGAAGAUAUUUCACGUAGGCCUGCGUCGAGACCGACUGAUAUCCCGCAGGCCCCUAGAGUAGUAUUGGAGGCACUUAUAUAUUCCAGAUUUUUCUUUUUGAGUCUGUAUUUCAACUUUCUUUUAGAGUCUGUUAGUUUACUUUAAGUCUGUUUGUUAUUUUUAGUUCUAAAGUGUGUAUGAUGGAGUCGUUGUAAUAGAGAAAAAUUAGAAGUUUUUAUUUUUAUGAAAAUUUGAAAAACCCAAAGAAUGUUUCUUUCUUUUAUUUCACAUUUAUCUGAUUUAUGUGGCGUCGUGAUACGUUUGCAAUCCUCAUCGGAUCCGAUCAUAGCUAUAGAUAACUCGAAUAAGAGAGAAAAUAAUGAAAAGAGGAGACAAGAAAAAGAGAGAAAAUAAGAAUAAGAGAGAAAAUAAUGCAAAAGAGAGAGUAGCAAAGAAAGAGAGAAAAUAAUGAAAAAAAAAACGUAAAGAAAAGAAAAAGAUUCAAAGAUCUAGGAGGCAGCAAGAGCCGGGAUGAGACACAUAACCGUUGCAAACUAACUGGUUUGUUGUGUAUGUUGUUUGAGAUCAGGUUCUGUUUUUAGGUGGUUGAUUUUGUGGUAACGUGGCUUCGCACCCUUACUUUACAAUAUCCAAAGAAAGUGUUGAAAUGACGUCUGAGAGUCAUCUACCAAUAAUUACCCCUUAUAGGAUAUCCCGAUUCCGGUUAUCCCGACGUUAGAGUCAGCAACGGUUGAAGAGAAGAGGGUAUUGCACCUCCGCAUGUUGGAAAUGUGGGACGCUUGGCCUAACGGUAGGGAGCUGCCCAGCGCAAUACCUGGUUUUCCCGAGCUGAUUCCCAGAACAAGUGGAACCUCCAAUGUCCCUAUAACUACCCGGCCACCCCAUUCGGAUACCCUACUAUGUCAACCCAUUUCACCAGAACACCUUCUGAGGUUCGCCCCCAGGCAUUAUUUUUGGAGUGUCUUCUAACAUAUUCAUCACACCACCAACCUCUGCUACGGCACAGCCAAUAGUGCCCAGGCCAGAUUUUGAGUCGUCCUCCUUUACUUUCCAAAUACCACCAUUUCAACUGGACACGACUCAUGUCACCCCAAACUCCUACCCUCAGCAACCUCGGUAAGAGUCUACCAUGGAACAAGAUAGAACUGUAAAGAAUCCCAAGCAAGAAGAGAUCAUUCAGAAAGUGAAAAGCAUAGAGCAAAUUCUCAAGAACAUACAAGGCCUGAGUGGCCAGAAGAGUGUCUCCUAUGAUGACUUGUGCAUGUUCCCUCAUGUUCAUCUGCCCAUCGGUUUCAAGACUCCUAAAUUUGAAACUUAUGAUGGACAUGGAGCAAUCAGUUAAGAGGAGCGGGUGGAAAAAAAGAACUCUUGAUGGCUUACUUCGGAAAGAGUUUAGCCUGAAUCGCAUCUGAAUGGUAUAUGGACCAAGACAUCUCCCACUGGCACAUAUGGGAUGACUUGGCCCGAGACUUUGUCAGACAGUUCCAGUACAAUAUGGACAUAGCUCUAGAUAGAAACUCUUUGUCCAAUUUCAAAGAGAAGUCUUCAGAGAGCUUCUGAAAGUAUGCUAUUAAGUGGCGUGAACAAGCUUCCCGGGUAAAACCCCCAAUGGAUGAGACCGGCAUGGUCAGUGUCUUCUUGCAAGCCUAAGAGGCUGAUUAUUUCCAAAACAUGAUGUCCACUAUGGGCAAGCCGUUUGUAGUAGCCAUAAAGAUUGGAGAAAUGGUGGAAAAUGGAUUAAAAACGGGUCACAUCCUGAUCCAGUCAGCUAUAAGAGCCACUUCUCAAGCAAUCCAGAGCGGGUCAGGGGCUGCAGCAAACCGGAAAAAUAAGGAAGAAGUAGCAAUGAUCGCCUCAAGUCUGCGAAACCCCCGUCAGCCCCAAGGUUACUUUAGUUCCUCUUCAAGCACCCCGCAACAUUACUACCCUCACCAAUAUGUGACAUAUGCCAUGACUCCUCAGCUUUAUGUAGUAAUGAAUGCCCAGCCAUAUGCUCGGCCGCUACAUCAUUAUAACCAGAACCGAGCUCUACCUCCCAGAAAUAACCCUCCUCACCAAGCUCAAUAUAAUCCCCAUCCACCAUAGAAUAAUUUUACAUAUUAUGCCUGUACCCGUGAACCACCCAGAAAAACCAACUUCCCACCCAUCGGUGAAUCAUAUUCCAGUCUCUUCCCAAAAUUGGUCCAAAUGGGUUUGUUACAACCCGUACCUCCAAACAGGCAAAACCCAGAGUCACCCUCCUACCGACCAAGUAUCUGAUGCACUUAUCAUUCAAGUGCAGAAGGGCACGACACUGAAGAUUGCUGGACCCUUAAGAGAGUGGUCGAGAACCUUAUAGAACAAAAGUGGGUAGUGUUGAGGGAUGAGGAAGUUCCCAAUGUAUCUAAUAACCCAUUGCUAGCUCGCAACAACGGGACAGUUAUUAGGAUGAUUUGUGAGGACAGAGAGUUUGACCCAGCUUUGAAAGCUAUCAUUGCUAUUGCUAACGUUGAAAAGAAACCCAAAGUGGCAGCAAAAAAAACUAAGGAUUAAAUGAAAAGCAACUCCACAAAGGUUGUGGAAACCAAGACAGGGGUAGAACCCCCUAAAGAUGUCGUUCUCUAUGUUCCCAGGCCCCCCAGAAAAAAACAGCUCGUGUCGAGUCCCCCAAAAAGGUUUGAGCAAAACAAGGUUACACUGAAGGUACCAAAGAUGUACGUACCAAAGGGGACUUAUGUGGCGCGGGGCCGAUAAUUUUACCCAAGCUGACUAAGCCCGUGGUUAUCAGCCGUGCACCAUAGAAUCCCAUGAAGAACCCAACUGCCAUCCCCUAGAACUACAAUAAAGCAGUGGUGACGUACAAGGGAAAGGAAAUCAUGGGGGAGGUAACUGAAGCGAACCCGUCUGGGAAGUACCUCAACUUGGAAGAAUUGAGCAAGACCAAACAGAAGCGUUUUCCGCUUAAAAAGCCAUUCAGUGCUGAAGAGGCAGAGGAAUUCUUCCGAAAGAUGAAAACCUCGGACUACACCGUGAUUGAUCAACUCAGAAAGUCCCCCUCUCAGGUCUUACUUUUGUCCCUGUUGAUAAGAUCGAAUGAGCAUCAUAAAGUGUUGUUAAAGACGCUUGAUGAGGCAUAUGUUCCGGUCGAGACCAUGGUUGAACAAUUGGAAAGAAUGGCGGAAUAAUUUUUCGAAGUCAAUCGGAUUUAAUUCAGCCGAAAUGACUUGCCUCCAGAAGGAGCUGCCCACAGCAAAGCUCUUCAUUUGACCAUUAAAUGUGAAGGAUACUACGUGAAAAGAGUUAUGUUGGAUGGCGGAUCUGGGGUUGACAUCUGCCCUCUCUCGACCUUACAGAGAAUGGAAAUUGGGACUAAAAGGAUUAGAUCCAACAAUGUUUCCGUACGUGCUUUUGACGGCGUCAAGAGGGACACAAUAGGGGAAAUUGAUUUGGUCCUAACCAUUGGCCCUGUGGAUUUUAAAGUGACAUUUCAGUUUUGGACAUGGACACCUCCUACAACUUUCUCUUAGGAAGGCAUUGGAUCCAUGAUGCAGGAGUCGUACCUUCUAUGCUCCACCAAAUAGUUAAGUUCGAACAUGAAAACCAACAAAUAGUGGUCCACAGAGAAGAUGAGCAAUCAAUUUACAGGGGCCUGUCAGUAAUAUGUCUGGAGGCUAAGGAAGGUAGCGUGCACAUAGUCUACCAAGCUUUUGAGAUCAUGGUCGCGGACCAGUGUGAGGAAGGAACCUCGUAUCCUCAACCCUUCUUGUCAAACGCGUCAAUCAUGGUCGCCAGUGAAAUGAUCAAACAUGGCUACAAGCCCAGGAAAGGGCUUGGGGCAUCUUUGCAAGGCAUUACAGAGCCUAUCACUUUGAAUGCCAGUGAGAAAUUCUUUGUCAUCGGUUUCCAAGCUACAGUAGCCGACGUAAAAUGGCCUAACGAACGUAAGAACAAUGGGUGGGUUUUGCCUCAGCCAGUCCCACAAGAACGUUUUUUAAGCCAAGGUACAUAGAAGAAUAAGAAGAGGCCUUCACGGCCGAAGAAAUUGAGGACAACUAUGGGGCAAUGAGGCAAAUGUUAUAUGAGGUUCACUUCGUCCAACCGGGUGAAGGCUCAAGCACUGCUGAGGUGCACUAUAUGGGGCGAAAUGCCAAAAUUCAAAAUUGGCAGGCUACUCCAUUCCCAGUCUGGCGGGAAUCACGGUAGUUCAGUCUUGCCAUCUUUUCUGCAUUCCGAGUUAUUUCAGGUGUAACUCAAAUGUUUUUAGUUUAUUGUCUUUUAAAUUCCGAUGUAAACCCUUCUAUCUUCAAAUUUAAUGAAUUGAAAUCAAUAUUUCAUCGUCUAUGAAUCUCUCUUUAUUCUUUAUGACUUUGUUAUGUUUUCUUAUCUCUCUUUUCAGUUCUAAUAAUGCGAACUUAAAUAACAUGACAUGCUUGCGGACUUCAUCCUAGAUCCUAACACGAUGUCUAACUGUGAAAUAAUGAAUCAAGAACAAUAAUAUGAUGAAGAUGAGACUUUUAGGAAAAUAAACCGAGAACUGGAACAAUUUGAGAAUAAGCCUAAGCCAAACUUAAAUGAAACUGAGCCAGUUAAUUUGGGUAGUUCAGAAGAGGUCCAGGAAACCAUGAUAAGCAUUCACGCAGAUGAAAGAACUAGGGAUGCAUUGAUCCAACUUUUAUUCGAAUUUAAAUAUGAGCACCUAAUUUUUGACCAUAUUUGGUUUUUGCACUCACUUUUUAGUAUUUAAAUAGAUUUCAAGUCUAAUUUUAAUAUUUCACCUUUUUAUGGGUUUAUUUUAGAUAAAUUAAAAAUUACAAAAAAAGAGUUACAUAUUUUUAGAGUAUUAGUUUUAUUUGUCAUUUACAAAGAAAGAAAAGUUUCCAAAAAAAAAUAAUAAAAUACAAAAAAAAGUUUUAUCUAGUUUGGUACAAUUUUUAAGUUAGAGGUUUGAGUGUAAUAAUUUUAUGUUGCUUUUUAUUUACUUAGUUAGUAGGAGUAUAUUAUUUUGCUUACUAUUUAUUAUCAAAAAAAUAAAUUACUACAAAAAAAAGAACCAAUCACAAUUAGCCAACUAGCAAAGAUUCCUCCCCAUCCAACUUUGUAACAGAUUUUGCAAAUGUACAUACACAAAUUUCUUUUUCUUGGAAAUCAUGCACACUCACAUGCUCACAUUAUUGGAUAUGCCUUACGUUACGCUCCUUAGUAAAGUUUUCAGCAAUUUGAUUUUUUUACUUUUCCUUAUUUUAAACACAAAUAUUCACUGUGCACUAUUAUUCUUUUUGUUUUCAUGCAUAUUUCACAUAGGCAUAAUAGGCCCACACGUUUUCUCUCUCCAAAACACUUAGAUAUAAGCAUCACCCCUCACUCAUUUUACGGAUAGGGAUAGAGGAAAAGAAUACUAGAAAAGGGCCACCCCUUCAACUCUCGAGAACCUUCUGUUUCUUCUUCAAAAAGGGCCUUCUUUUGCUUCUUCUUGAAAAUCAGCGAUACACACACGAAAAAAACAGAGGGUCUGAGAGAAAAAUCUUAGGGUUUUGAAGAAAAAUAGUUUUUUAUAAUUUGUGAUUUGAUUUUCUUUUUCUAAAAAAUUCCAUAAAACCAAAAAAAUGUUAUUUAUCAUCUUUGAUUUCGGAUUUGGAUUUAAAAAAAAAAGUGGAUGCGAGUUGAGGUUUGAAGCUGGUUCAAUUCGCCGUUCGGAGGUUCAAGUUCGGGGUACCGAUUGAGGUUUUUGAUCGUUGCAGUUGGCUCUUGUCGGAUAUCUGGAAUCAGAAUUUGUGUAUUUGUUGAUUCUUUAACUGACGCUAAGAAUUUUUGCUUAACAGGUACCUUUCUAUUACUCCUACCUGUAUUUUGUUUCUUAGUUUGUGGUUAAAUGAGAGUUUGUUGGUCUGAAUUUGUGGAUGCCAAAAUAUUUAUGAUCAUUUUACUCUUUGUGAUAUUAAAAACAAUUUGUCUUCUCUUAUUGAGGUAAAAUUGAAGAUUUGAAUGGGUUUUUGUUAGUUAAUAAAUGGGUUCAUAUAUUUUAUCUCAAAUUAUGAUAUUUGAGUAGUAAAAUUUUACUACAAGAUUUUCACACAAAUUUGGUCCAACUCAGUGUUCUUUCUUUCAAGAUUUAGCUUGUGUAUAAAUUUUGCCUAUUAAACUUUUCUUAUUAGCUUCCAGUAGGCUUUAAGCAUGAAUUUCCUGCCUUAUUUUAGUUGUAAUGGCCUUAUGUUAAAUUGGUGGAAUUUAAGCAAUAUGGUACCAAAUUUUAGUUAAGUAGCUGCAAAUCUCCCGUGCUCUCUUAGGUGUUAAAUCUGCUUAAUUGAUGUGUGGAUUAUUGUUGUUUUGCAAAGAUGUCAUGUUUAUAUUAUUUACUUGGAUGUUUCAUGGAAUUGAGGUUGAAUAUGAUUUUUUUUCUUGAAUUGGAUGUUCUAUUGCGUUCAAGAUUUGGAAAAUAUACGAGUAUUUAUAUGUUGUUAGAAAGAUGUCCUCUUGGUGUUUAACCAAGACUUUAUUUAUUCAUUUAUUUUAGUUAUUUUAUUUUUAUUUUAUUUUUGUUUAUUCUCAUUCUCUUAUUUCCUUGCUCCAAUUAAUUGGCGUCUGUUCGCUUCUUAGAUUUUGUCUCUAUGAAUGGUAUGAGACGUAAGGUUGGGAAGGGCCUACCCCUUUUAGUGAUUAAAAUUACUUACAUGUAUAGGAAUUGGAAUGUGUCGAAUGCAUGAAAUCUCUUUUAGUAAAAGUUCUCCAUAAUCUCGGGCCCUUCUUGCUCACAAUCACCAAAUUGAGAAUUACAUAAUUCAUAAACAUCAUAGUUUGCUUUAGGCGUGACUUAAUUUUUCAUUGGGAUUGUGUACACAUUCGCGUGACAUAAUUACGUUUCUAAAACAAAACCGGAGUAUGCGUCCGCGCAACUUCGGCCAAACUUUCUUAAUAAUGAUAAAGCGUUAUUAAUGUCAUGGGCUGCUUUCCAGACACGCCCCAUGACCUUUUGGUCGCGCCCCAUGGCGGCCUAGCAAGCCUCACAAUGCCUAGCGCCAUGAUCGGCCCCGUGGUCUUGGCUGCGCCAAGUGACAAGCGCGCAUGUGCCUCUGUCGCCCCACCGAUGCCUCUCGCCAGUGCCCAAGGGCUGGCCAAUGACAACAGCGCCGCGCGCCCUAACAAUGUCGCGUGUGCAGAUCCUGAUACCUCACCAGUGCCCAGCUGCAGGCCCAUUCCAGCAGCGCCUCGCGCACAGACCCUGAUGCCAAGCACCAGUGCCCAGCCUCAGGCCAACACAACAAGUAUCACGCGUGCCCACAGCAACGCGCGCGCAGACCCUGACCCGCAAGACAAAGUUGCUACCAUCGGACUUAGUUCUACCUUGUAAUAAACUAAGUCCUUUUCAUUGUAAUUAUAGGCUAGUUUACCUCAUUUCCAUUCAGUGUGCUUCUACAGCUUUAUUAGGACUAGUCAUGUAAUGUUGAUUUAUUUUUUUUACGCAUUAUUAAAGGGGGCCAAACAAUCAAACAUUUUCAAGCAAGCAAUUUUCUGGUGUCUCUCCCCCUCGACACCGCAUCUUUUGUAAUCAGCAUUUCAGUCAUCAAUAAAAUCAUCAUCAUCAUUCAAAACCCAAUUCUCUCUCAGCUUCUGCAAUUGCUCGUGACAUUGGUUUUUCCGCACGGCACUGACAAUCUAGUCUAGCGUGCGGAGGGGACCUCAUUGGCGGACAGUAACCGCACUCACAUCGGUUGCUUAGCCUUACGUUGCCCUUCCAAAUAACAUCAGGAAGGCGUUGCGUAACAGUUGGUAUCAGAGCCUAGGCUCGACAUCGGACGAGGGAACACAUUUGUCAUCAUCACCAUUUCUGACCAUGGUGAAUCAUGGGGAGCGUCUAGUAUCCCUAGAAGAGACGGUUGACCGAUUACGACCUAUCGUGGAUACGGUGCCUGAUCAAAACAACAACCUAGUGCAAAGGUUGGAUGACCUGGACCGCCGAAUGCGACAGGCAGAAAAUGACAUUGCAAACAUCAGUCGUGACUCUGACGAUGACCGACAAACGGCAGCCAUCGAAACUGCCAAUAUUCAUGGCAAAUUUGAGGACCUCCAACAGUAGUGUGCCGACGAUUUAGCCCAUCAGCAACAAGAGGCAGAUAGACUAACUGCCAUGCAGCAAACCAUAGACGACUUGACAGGCAAUCUCAAUGUUGUCAAUGCUGCCCUACAGAGCCUACUUAGAGGNNNNNNNNNNNNNNNNNNNNNNNNNNNNNNNNNNNNNNNNNNNNNNNNNNNNNNNNNNNNNNNNNNNNNNNNNNNNNNNNNNNNNNNNNNNNNNNNNNNNNNNNNNNNNNNNNNNNNNNNNNNNNNNNNNNNNNNNNNNNNNNNNNNNNNNNNNNNNNNNNNNNNNNNNNNNNNNNNNNNNNNNNNNNNNNNNNNNNNNNNNNNNNNNNNNNNNNNNNNNNNNNNNNNNNNNNNNNNNNNNNNNNNNNNNNNNNNNNNNNNNNNNNNNNNNNNNNNNNNNNNNNNNNNNNNNNNNNNNNNNNNNNNNNNNNNNNNNNNNNNNNNNNNNNNNNNNNNNNNNNNNNNNNNNNNNNNNNNNNNNNNNNNNNNNNNNNNNNNNNNNNNNNNNNNNNNNNNNNNNNNNNNNNNNNNNNNNNNNNNNNNNNNNNNNNNNNNNNNNNNNNNNNNNNNNNNNNNNNNNNNNNNNNNNNNNNNNNNNNNNNNNNNNNNNNNNNNNNNNNNNNNNNNNNNNNNNNNNNNNNNNNNNNNNNNNNNNNNNNNNNNNNNNNNNNNNNNNNNNNNNNNNNNNNNNNNNNNNNNNNNNNNNNNNNNNNNNNNNNNNNNNNNNNNNNNNNNNNNNNNNNNNNNNNNNNNNNNNNNNNNNNNNNNNNNNNNNNNNNNNNNNNNNNNNNNNNNNNNNNNNNNNNNNNNNNNNNNNNNNNNNNNNNNNNNNNNNNNNNNNNNNNNNNNNNNNNNNNNNNNNNNNNNNNNNNNNNNNNNNNNNNNNNNNNNNNNNNNNNNNNNNNNNNNNNNNNNNNNNNNNNNNNNNNNNNNNNNNNNNNNNNNNNNNNNNNNNNNNNNNNNNNNNNNNNNNNNNNNNNNNNNNNNNNNNNNNNNNNNNNNNNNNNNNNNNNNNNNNNNNNNNNNNNNNNNNNNNNNNNNNNNNNNNNNNNNNNNNNNNNNNNNNNNNNNNNNNNNNNNNNNNNNNNNNNNNNNNNNNNNNNNNNNNNNNNNNNNNNNNNNNNNNNNNNNNNNNNNNNNNNNNNNNNNNNNNNNNNNNNNNNNNNNNNNNNNNNNNNNNNNNNNNNNNNNNNNNNNNNNNNNNNNNNNNNNNNNNNNNNNNNNNNNNNNNNNNNNNNNNNNNNNNNNNNNNNNNNNNNNNNNNNNNNNNNNNNNNNNNNNNNNNNNNNNNNNNNNNNNNNNNNNNNNNNNNNNNNNNNNNNNNNNNNNNNNNNNNNNNNNNNNNNNNNNNNNNNNNNNNNNNNNNNNNNNNNNNNNNNNNNNNNNNNNNNNNNNNNNNNNNNNNNNNNNNNNNNNNNNNNNNNNNNNNNNNNNNNNNNNNNNNNNNNNNNNNNNNNNNNNNNNNNNNNNNNNNNNNNNNNNNNNNNNNNNNNNNNNNNNNNNNNNNNNNNNNNNNNNNNNNNNNNNNNNNNNNNNNNNNNNNNNNNNNNNNNNNNNNNNNNNNNNNNNNNNNNNNNNNNNNNNNNNNNNNNNNNNNNNNNNNNNNNNNNNNNNNNNNNNNNNNNNNNNNNNNNNNNNNNNNNNNNNNNNNNNNNNNNNNNNNNNNNNNNNNNNNNNNNNNNNNNNNNNNNNNNNNNNNNNNNNNNNNNNNNNNNNNNNNNNNNNNNNNNNNNNNNNNNNNNNNNNNNNNNNNNNNNNNNNNNNNNNNNNNNNNNNNNNNNNNNNNNNNNNNNNNNNNNNNNNNNNNNNNNNNNNNNNNNNNNNNNNNNNNNNNNNNNNNNNNNNNNNNNNNNNNNNNNNNNNNNNNNNNNNNNNNNNNNNNNNNNNNNNNNNNNNNAAACACCAGCGCCCAGCCUCAGGCCAACAUAACAAGUGUCGCGCGCGCCCACAGCAACGCGCGCGCAGACCCUGACAUCGGUUGCUUAGCCUUACGUUGCCCUUCCAAAGAACAUCAGGAAGGCGUUGCGUAACAUUAAUUGUGGACACGUUCGCGUGACAUGAUUUUUGGCGCGCCAAACAAAUGAGUACACUUACGCGUGAAUCGUUUUAUGAUAAUUCCAUAAUUAUGAAUAAUCAAGCAAUUAAAAGCAGUAAAAAGGUAAAUGCACAUAGGUUCUAAAGUACCUAAUUAGACAAUUUAAUUGAUCCAAGUAUGAUUAAAGCGACCGUGCUAAAACCACGGAACCCAGGAAUGCUUAACACCUUCUUCCGGGUUAAUAAAAUUCCUUACCCGAAUUUUUGCGUUCGCAGACCAUAAAUAGAAUCAAAACUUUCCUCGAUUCGGGAUUUUAAACCGUUGACUUGGGACACCAUAAAUUAUACCAAGUGUCUACUCUGAAUUUAAUAUAGAUAAUCCCAUUUCAAUUGUCACUGAAAUUGAAAAAACUCCCUUAUACCCCCUUUCGGGAUAGAAAAAGGAGGUGUGACAGCUCUGGCAACUCCGCUGGGGAACAAGAACCCAGAAUCUCUGGUUCAGGGUUUAAGAAUUUGGGUUUGUUAAUGUGAUUUUUACUUGGCUAUAUUAAUUGUUUAUAUUACUGUAUUUUGUGGGCCUAAUGUGCUAAUUGCCGCUUAUUUACUACUUUGGUAUUAUUUGAGCUGUAUUAAACUGUCUUCUUACGCCACCCCUCUGAGUCUUCUAAAAUGGUGCGCACGUUCGCGUGGCCCAAUUUUUCUAUUAGAAGUUAUAUCAAAUAGAACGAGGCUGGGCCAGCAACAAGGCCGGGUAGACUUUCGUACUCCUGGUACGUUGCCCCCUCUUCGGCUUGAGUUGUCCUUCCGAGUAAGCCAGGUCAAGAACACAACCCCAGAUUUAAACUUAUAAUAACAUAGCCUCAUGCCGGAUCCCUAGUAGGAACGUUUGUUUGCAUCACGUGCAUUUGACUUAGGGGACUCAACACAGGGUUGGGUUCGUCUAGGACAAGACAGGGGUUGGGUUCGUCUGAUACAUCUUACGUGCUAUUUGUACAUUUAUUUGCUUCGGCUUGUAUGUUGACCGACUAAAGAAAGAAAAAUAAUAGAAAAACCAAGAGUGAGGUAGGAUAGAGAAUUCACUCUGUUCUGAAAAUCCUGGUAUUUGAAAAUGCCUCAAAACUCUACCAAAAUUUUUGAAAAAAAAAGGAAAAGAAAAUGUAUUAAUAAAAAAUGAAAAUGAGUCAAUAUCAUGUUUUUCCAAUUAUGUCAAAAUUGGCAAACUACAUGGGUCUGAUUCUCACCGGAUGUGAGAUACGUAGGCAAACCUCAUCGGUUCCGGCCUACAAUUUUCAAAAAAUCCAAAAAUAUUUUCCUUUAGUUCCUUGUUUAGAAACUCUUCCAUUUAGACCCUAAUUUAAAAAAAAAUAUUUUGUUUUAAUAUCUCUCAAAAUUCAAAAAUAUUUUCAUUCUUCUUUCGAAAAUUGAAAAUAAAAUUUAAGAUUCAAAAAUAUUUUCUUUUUUCUUUAGAAGUAUAUCUUUCAUAAAUUCAAAAUAAAAGUCUAAAAAUCCAAAAAUAUUUCCUUUCUUCUAUAGAAGUUUUUCUUUCGAAAUUCCAGAAAAAAGAGAGAGUUGAAAUUCAAAACAAUAUUCUUUCUUAUUUAGAAGUCUUUCUUUUCAAAAAAAAAAUUAAAAAAAUAAACAAACAAAUCGAAAUCCAAAAAUAUUUUGUUUCUUCUUUUUAAGUCUUUCUUUCGAAAAAAAGUCCAAAAUCCAAAAAAAAGAGUUAGUUUUAUUUACUUUAUUCCUGAUCUUCCCGAACUAUGCAAGAUCUGAUUCAUGCUCCCACAUGAUACGUAGGCAACCCACAUCAGGUCGAUCAACCAAAAAAUGAAAAAAUGAAAAAAAAAAUGAUGAUAAUAAUAAGGACUGACUGAGUCCAUUCUGACGUGUCUUUUGUUUUGAAUUGUGAAGAAAGUUUGAGGAGGUCGGUUUGUGGUAAGCGGACGGCACAAGAUCCAAGGAAAAAUGAUAACUGACAUCGAAGCUGUUACAAGUGCUCAAGAGACUCAGGGUCAGAGGAUUCGAUAAGAGUCUGCUGUUUUUGAGGAAAAUAGAAUACUGAAAUAGCAAAUGACUGAAAUGUGUCAAGCAUGGGCCAAUGGCGAAGGACCGCCCUUUUUCUUCUCAUGGUUUCUCAGAAUUCACACACAUCUCAACUGCUGCCAUUUCGGUCUCAUUGUCUGAUCAAUCCUAUCCACCUGGGUUGAGUCAUUAUCCCAACUGUAUGACUACAGUUGGAACUUUUGUUGUGCGCUCCCAAAGUUUUCAUUGACAACCAAUCAGAAAACCGCUAUUGUUAUGCCUGUCUUCACCAUCCCACAGCUGACAGUGAUGUAGAGGAAAACUCAUGAGUCAUAGUUUGCUACCCAGCAAGAACAAUCUCACUCUCCUAAGUACCAUUCGUACCUAUUUGAUCUUCCUGCAAAGAUUGAGAAGCCUGCCCGAAAGAUAGCACAGGAAGAAAUGACCCAAAGAAUGAAAAGCUUAGAACAACAAUUGAAAAACAUGCAAGGGUUGGCAGGUUAGAAGGGUAUUACCUUCAAGGAUCUAUGUAUGUUCCCUGAUGUCCACUUGCCAGCUGGUUUCAAGACUCCCAAAUUGAAAAGUAUGAUGGACAUGGAGACCUCAUAGCCCACCUGAAAAGUAUUGCAAUCAACUAAGAGGUGCGGGAGGAAAAGAAGAAUUACUGAUAGCUUAUUUUGGGGAAAGCCUCACAGGAGUAGCCUCCGAAUGGUUUAUGGACCAAGACACAUCUCACUAGUAUGUCUAGGAUGACAUGGCACAGGCCUUUGUGAAACAAUUCCAAUACAACAUUGACAUCGCCCCAGACCGUAAUUUCCUUUCAAACCUGAAGAAGAAACCAAGUGAAAGUUUCAGGGAAUAUGCCAUUAAAUGGAGAUAGCAAGCAGCUAGAGUUAAGCCACCCAUGGAUGACCACGAGCUAAUCACUAUCAUUCUUCAGGCUCAAGAGUCAGAUUGCUUUCAAAACAUGAUGUCCGCAGUUGGCAAAUCCUUCUCGGAAACAAUCAAAAUGGGAGAAAUGGUAGAGAAUGGCUUUAAGACAGGCAGAAUUAUAAGUCAAGCAGCUCUCAAAGCUGCAACACAGGCUGUCCAAAUUGAAUCUGGUGACACGAAUGAUAUGGAUGAAGAAAUCAUAAUGACAUCAGGGUCGAGAAGAGGUCCUAGGAGAACGUCUCGAAUGUAUGACCAGCCUUGUCUAUUUUCUGAUAACUCCCUGCACAUUACUAUCCACCUCAGAACCCACAAUACUUUGUUGCUCCACCUCAGUAUGUUGCCUAGCCACCAAAACACCCUAGAAGGUGAGCACAAGCACCGCAAAAUCUCUACCAGCCUCCACCAAAUUUUCAAGUGCCCUAUAACCCACAUCCAAGCCAGGGGUAUAAGGGGGAACAAAGGUUGAAAGAUAAUUUUUCACCAAUAGGAGAGUCCUAUGCAAGCUUGUUUGAGAAAUUAAAGUAUUAUGACAUGAUUGCACCUAUUCCUCCAAAUCGUGUGGAUCCACGCGCGAGAAGAUUUGACCCUUCUAAAAGGUGUGAAUACCAUUCCAAUGUCCAGGGGCACAAUGUUGAAAGCUGUCGGGAUUUGAAAAGAGAAAUAGAAAGGAUGAUCCAGGAAAAUCUGAUUGUGAUCCAAGAUAGUGACACCCAAAAUAUUGCGUAGAAUUCUUUACCUGCACAUGAUGAUGCAUACUUUACUGGGAUGAUUCCUGGUUACAUGGAGUAUGAGAAUCCUUUCAGGAACUUGCCGACUGAUAUUGGAGAAGGCCAUGGUGAUUCUGAUGAGUAAAUUUGUGGCUAAAUGUCAAGCUUAGCAAUUGAAAAGCCAUUCUCUCUUCACUAGGAAGUGAUCUUGGUAGCUUGUAUUGAUGUUUUUUUCUAUUAUCUGGGUUAUUUCAGGGUUGUGAUCCACAUUUUAUUUGUUUUAUUGAUUCAAACCCUUCUAUCCCUCUAUUCUAUUUGUGUGAGUCUUGUCUCUCUGUUUUGUUGCUAUUUUCAUUAGCCGGUAUGUUUUAGGGUUAUAACUCGGAUUUUAGGUUGUGUGUCUUGUUGUUUAUUCAAUGAAAUACAGUUAGUCCUUUUGUGUCAUUCUGUUCUUAGUUCUUUUCUCUCUAGUUCUAAUGACAUGACAUGCAUGCGAAAAUUUUGGCCAGAUCUUAGAAACUAAUUUAAUCUGGAAUUGGAUAAUUGAGAAAAAAACAAUUUUUGAGACUGAAUAACGAGUCGAAACACUUUGGAGUUAAGCACGGUUCAAAUUCAUGUAGAACUAGAAUAGUCAUACCCAUAGAUGUCAAUGAUCCUUACCUUCAAAUCAUUGUGAAGAUCGGGCUUGAGGAAAAAUCAAUUGAAGUUUGUUGUAAAGUUUGACAUUAUAGGAUGGAAAGUGUCUUGUGACCACAACACACCAAGAAGACAGACAUGUUCGUCAAUGUUGUGAUUGCGAAAAGAUACUAUGACGUUCUCGAGGCUGGGAGACCCUUUUUUUGCUACCCAAACACUUUAUAUCCUUUGUUACCCCUUUUGAGCCUGUGUUAUUUUCUUUGACCAUCCUCUUUUGGAAUCAAGUUUAGAGUCAAGAGUUAAAAAACAAAAAAAUGAAAAAAAAAAAGAAAAAGAAAAAAAGUCCAUGUCCCAAUAGUACAAACUGGGGCAACUCUUAGAAAAUUCAAGUAAAAAAAACAGUCAAAGGUCCAUGCCCCCAGAAAAUAAAAGCUAGGACAAUUUGUUUUUAAAAAAAAAAGGAAAAAAGAGAUACAGAAAGAAAGAUGAAAAAUAUAGUUAGUCUCAUAUUUGAACUACAUUCGACCUGAUUCCUUAAAAAAGGAUACGUAGGCGGCCUCAAGGUUCGGUCCAACCAAAUAAGAAUUCAAAAAAAAAAUUUAAAAAAAAAUCCCCAAUAGCUAAAACCGGGGCAAAGAUUUUAUUUCAUUCUUAAAAGAGUCGAUUCCAAAAGUUGUAAGUAUACAACCCCGUCAUCUUUAGUCUGUUUUGAGCCUCAUGCCGACCUUUCUUCCUACCCAUGUCCAAAAGCCUUCCAAAUAAAGACCUCCUGAUCAACCUUCAAGAAUGCCAAGAGAUGCAUGCAAUGAGCAACGGUUGUCACGCGACAUAGAACACUGUCAAGUUGCUCACACAAGAAAGCAAAAGGAAAAGAAAAAUACGAAAGAAAAAUGAGAGAGUCUUGCUAGUGAAAACCCUCAUAGGCACUGUAAGUUGACGGUAAGUAGAGAAAAUAAAUGAGAGAGACUUAUUGGUGAAAAUCCCUAGGGGCACCAAUAGUCGAAAGUGAGACAUGAAGUUGAUGCAAAGGAUCGGCAUGAACGAGCCCGAUUUCAAAGGUCAUAAGAAUGGUAAAAAGGAAAAUUGGAUUAGUUUGAUAGAUCAGGCCAUUGAGUCUAAAAUGCAUGUCAUGGUCAUUAAGGCUAGUUAUUGAAAAAAAAGAGAAAAAGAAAAAAACGUUUCCUUAUGUCCUUCCAAGAGGGGCAUUUUUUGUUAAUACUUGUUUCAUGCACCAUUGUGUCCUUCACCUUGAGUCCAUCCUUGUCAAAAAAAGCAAGAAAAGAUUUCAAAAUCUGCUACCAGCUUUUCAGUUGCACAAAGUAAAUUUGGCUAGCACACUCAGUUGUUACUGUCAAUAUACCUUAAGGAUUCAUGCAAAGGCUUCCCCAAAAAGACUCUUGUCAGCUUACUUGGCGCAAGAAAGAUAAUUAGUGAUUUUCUCUGAUAGACAAAUUGCUCAAAAAGUAGAAAGUCAUUCAAGCUAUCGGAAAAUGUCACCUAAACAAAGAUCUCCAGUUGGGAUAAGGCUGAUUGAGCCGCAAAUACAAAUGGUAUUGUGUGUGAAAUAAUCAGAGUUGGUGCAGAACAAAAGUCUUUUGAGACUAACUCAAGCUAAUUGAGCAGAAGCCAAGUUGUCCAAGACUCAAGGCCACAAACCGACCACCCUUUUCAAAACUGACAAAUUUUUCUUUAUGUGACACAGGAACAAAGCAGUGCAAGGAAAGUGGUUCAAAAAAAAGAAAAAAAAACAAAAGAAAGAAAGAAAAAAAACAAAACAAAAAAGAGAAGGAAAAGAAAAGAAGAGAAGAGACUACAAAGGGAAGUUUCUCAAAUCUUUGCCUUCAUUUGUCUUGCUAUUGUGCAAAAAAUUUUGUCAUUGAUCUUCACAUUUUUCCUCCUAGGAUGAGAAGUCCUGAUCUGAUGGAUUUUCCUCCAAAUAUAAUCUUAGUCUGAUGAAUCUUUCUCCUAAGAUAGAAGACAUAGUCUGAUGAACUUUCUCCUAGGAUAAACGCCUUAGUCUGAUGAAUUUUUCUCCUAAGAUAAGAAACCUAGUCUGAUGAACUUUCUCCUAGGAUCAAAAUCUUAGUCUGAUGAAUCUUUCUCCUAAGAUAGAAAACCUAGUCUGAUGAAUCUUUCUCCUAGGAUAAACAUCUUUGUCUGAUGAAUUUUUCUCCUAAGAUAAGAAACCUAGUCUGAUGAACUUUCUCCUAUGAUCAAAAUCUUAGUCUGAUGAAUCUUUCUCCUAGGAUAAACAUCUUAGUCUGACGAAUAUUUUUCCUAAGAUAACCAAAGAAAAAAAUCUAGUCUGAUGAAUCUUUCUCCUAGGACAAACGUCUUAGUCUGCGGAAUUUNNNNNNNNNNNNNNNNNNNNNNNNNNNNNNNNNNNNNNNNNNNNNNNNNNNNNNNNNNNNNNNNNNNNNNNNNNNNNNNNNNNNNNNNNNNNNNNNNNNNNNNNNNNNNNNNNNNNNNNNNNNNNNNNNNNNNNNNNNNNNNNNNNNNNNNNNNNNNNNNNNNNNNNNNNNNNNNNNNNNNNNNNNNNNNNNNNNNNNNNNNNNNNNNNNNNNNNNNNNNNNNNNNNNNNNNNNNNNNNNNNNNNNNNNNNNNNNNNNNNNNNNNNNNNNNNNNNNNNNNNNNNNNNNNNNNNNNNNNNNNNNNNNNNNNNNNNNNNNNNNNNNNNNNNNNNNNNNNNNNNNNNNNNNNNNNNNNNNNNNNNNNNNNNNNNNNNNNNNNNNNNNNNNNNNNNNNNNNNNNNNNNNNNNNNNNNNNNNCUCCUAAGAUAGAAGACCUAGUCUGAUGAACAUCUCCUAGGAUCAAAAUCUUAGUCUGAUGAAUUUUUCUUCUAAGAUAGAAAACUUAGUCUGAUGAAUUUUCUCCUAGGAUAAUAAUUUUAAAAAAGGGGGGGGGGGGGAGUCUGAAUAUUGAAAAAAAAGAGGGGUCAAUUUUUAGUUCUCUUAAGUUAUCAUGUGUAGUUUUCUUGAAAUCAGAGGUCCCGACUGGAGAAUAGGGUUAGUUUUUACUUUAGUCAAGCUUAGUUUAUUGUUUUCCACAAGCUCAAUCACAUUUAGGAGACGCACAUCCUAGUCGAGUCAUUAACUUUACUCUGAUCAUUGCAUCUUUCAUCAGAAGCAUAGGUGAUUUAUAGUUUUUCUAACAACUCACAAGUCUUCCUAGUGCAAACUUGGGCAGAAAAGUUUCUUUUGUUGUCUGUUUUGUUGUAGUAUCAGGCGCCCACCUGGAGAACAAGGGAAGACAAUUCAAGUUUCAAGGAAAAGCAGUUUCGAAGGAAGACAGUUCAAGUUCAGCAAUCAGGCGCCCACCUAAAGAACAAGGGAAGACAGUUCAAGUUUCAAGGAAAAACAGUUUCGAAGGAAGACAGUUCAAGUUUUGGCAAUCAGGCACCCACUUGAAAAUAAGGGAAAUCGCUUCAAAAUGCAAUUCAAGUCAACAACGAAAGAAGAUCACGGCAAGAAUGCGAGUCAACAGUCCGAGAUUAUCAACGGAAGUUAGUCACAAUGCAGAAUAAAAAAAAGAAAGGCAAGAAGUGAAUCCAAAUGCAGAAGUUGAUGAAAGAUGUGAGCUACUCAAGAUAUGACUGAAGUCAUGAGCGCUACAUGUACGGUCUUGAUCCAAAAGGUGAAGAAGAAUGAACUAUCACCUGCAGCUACCAAGCGCCAAGGUUCAAAUCUAAAGUCCACAUAAGAACCAUUCAAGACUCAAGAUCAAGCUUCGGAAGACUCAUAAAUAGGAAUCUUGUAACUCGUAGCUGAUAGGCUUAGUUAGUCUUUUCAAUUUUGAUUUUUGAUGUAAUAAUAGGACCGCGGACCAGAACCUCGACGGAACCUCACUCGACUCUCGAACUCAUCACUCCAUCAUUCUUCUUGAACUACACGCGACCUGAUUCCCUUAUAACUUGGGAUAUGUAGGCUGCCCAAAACCAGGACUCGGUUGCGCCUUUUUCUUUUAUUUUCUUCAUCUUUUGAAUAACGAUAUGGUCAAAAAUUAGUCACAUGGCUCACUUUAUCUUUGCCAGAAAACUCUUCGUGUUUCCUAGCAAAGAGGGGCAGCUGUGUGCACCUAAUUAUUUACCAUGUUUGGUUUUUCCACUAACUUUUUAGUAUUUAAAUAGAUUUCAUGUCUAAUUUUAAUAUUUUACCUUUUUAUGGGUUUAUUUUAGAUAAAUUAAAAAUUACAAAAAAAAAAGAGUUACAUAUUUUUAGAGUAUUAGUUUUAUUUGUCAUUUACAAAGAAAGAAAAGUUUUCAAAAAAAUAAUAAUAAAAUACAAAAAAAAGUUUUAUCUAUUUUGGUACAAUUUUUAAGUUAGAGGUUUGAGUGUAAUAAUUUUAUCUUGCUUUUUAUUUACUUAGUUAGUAGGAGUAUAUUAUUUUGCUUACUAUUUAUUAUCAAGAAAAUAAAUUACUACAAAAAAAAAGAACCAAUCACAGUUAGCCAACUAGCAAAGAUUCCUCCCCAUCCAACUUUGUAACUGUGAUGACUCAAAGUAUCAUCUUUAAAUUAAAUAAUUAUCUCGGUAUUUUAAGACCUUGAAAAGUGGUAUCAAUAAUUUGUCGACUUGCGUGCACAGUCCAUAUAAUUUUCCGGAAGGUUUUUAUGUGAAAAAUAGAUUAAAUUGUGAAUUAGAGCUUUAAAACUCAACUGAGUUGACUUCGAUCAACAUUUUGAGCAAACGAAUUCGGAUCCAAGUUUUGACCACUCUGGUAGUUUCGUAUCAUGAUUUGGGACUUGGUCAUAUGCCCGAAAUCAAAUUCGGCGGUCCCUAACUAAAAUUAUCGCCAUUUAACGGAAUCUAAAAAUCUAAGGCUAAAGAUUUCCUAAUUUUGACAGGAGAUUUGACUUUUGAGCAAACGACCCUGGAAUAGAAUGUUGAUGAUUCCAAUAGUUUCGUAUGGUGUUUUGGACUUAGGAGCAUGUUCUGAUUUGAAUUUGGAUGUUCGUAGGACAAUUUGACGCAUUUUGGUGAAAGUUGGAAAAUAGAAGAUUUUUGGAAAGUUUGACCAAGAGUUGACCUUUUGAUAUCGGGGUCGGAAUUCGAUUAUGAAAAUUGAAACAGAUCUAUUAUGUCAUUUAUGACUUGUGUGCAAAAUUUGAAGUCAUUCCAGAUUGAUUUGAUAUGUUUCGGCGCAAAAAGUAGAAGUUGGAAGAUUUGAAAACUCAUAAUUCAAUUCAAUGUGCGGUUCGUAAUUUCGGCGUUAUUUUACGUGGUUUGAAGCCUCGAUUAAGUUCAUAUUGUAUUUUGGGGCAUGUUAGUAUAAUUGGUUAAGGUCCCGAGAGCCUCGGGUGGAUUUCGAAAGGUUAAUGGGAUGGAUUUCGGAGAAAAAAAUAAGUUGCUGAAAUUUUCUGCUGCAGAAGCUUUAGACAGCACUGCGCAAUCGUGGAGCCUACUUCGGAUGCUUGUAUCCCAAAAUUUGUAAGGAAUAUGAAAAUUUACAAAAAAUGAAAGUUGUACCACUUGCAUCCUAGUUUCCAGAAAGUUAAAUUAAUAAUCAUUCGGAAAUUUAUACAGAAAGUUAUAAUCGAUUUACUGAAGGCUGGUCAAGCUAUCUUGAAAAUUUUCCAGAAAUUUUUUAUGCGAGUUGGCUACUUUGGGAGAUUAUAUCUCGCUAUCCAUAAGGAACUGGGUGAUUAUCAACACAUAAAAGUUGUAGCUCUUGGUGUCUAGUUUCCAGAAAGUUAAAUCGUUCAUCAUUUGGAUAUUUUUGUACAGAAAGUUAUGAUCGACUUACUGAGGCUGGUAAUGCUGUUUUUUUUUCUGAGACAGAGGCGAAAUCGUAUGUAUCAAAUGCGAUUUAUAAGUCUCAAUUGACAAAUGCAACUUGCCUGUACAGAUUUUUAAAUACGAGAGUUAGCCAUUUUUACUCAUUUUUGAGUUUUGAGUCUUGGAUUUAGGCGAUUCCAAAGGGGGUUUUCACGACUUCAACUUGGGUAAGUGUUCUAUAUCCGAAAGUGAUUAUAUCAUAUAUCCAUGUCCAUAUUCACCAAUUAUUUCGGAUUUAGGUGUAAGAAAUUGGGAUUUUUGUAAAUUCUUCAAAAACGAAUUUUCAAGAUUUGUACAUCGAUUCGGAGUCAGAUUUGAUUAAAAUUAGUAUGGUUGGACUCGUAAUUGAAUGGAUUAUCUUAUUUUGUGAGUUUUGUCGUAUUCAGAGAUGUGGGCCCCGUGGGCAAAUUUGGGUUAAUUUCGGAUUUUGUUGGAAAAUUAGUAUUUUCAUAUGGAAUUAAUUCCUAUAAUUAGUAUUGACUGAAUUGAAUUAACUGUGGCAAAAUUCGGAUUGAUUGGAGGUCGAUUCGAGGGGAAAAGGCAUUUCGGUGUAGGAUUUUGCUCGGAUUGAGGUAAGUAAUGAUUGUAAAUGUUGUCCUGAGUUUAUGAAACCCCGGAUUUCACAUCGUUGCGCUACUUUGAGAUGACACACACGCUAGAUGACGAGCGUGGGGUCGUGCACUAUUGGGGAUUGUGACUUAGUCCGUCCCGUAUGACUGUUAAACCGCGUAUUUGAUUGAAAACUGUUUGAUAUCAUUGUGUUUUGGAAAGUAUUAUCAUGUUUGAUAUUAUGCCUGAUGGGCGGUUUAUGAUACAUGUUUUGCCCGAGGGGCUGUUUACAUUUCUAUCAUUUUUACUCACUGUUUUAUCACUUGUUUGAAACUAUUGAAAGUUAUUUUAAAAGGUUUUACUGAAACUGAGCUUGAUUUACGAAGUAAACGGUUUCUGUACUAUUUUUGAGAAAUAUACGGUAUUUGUUGUAGUGUUAUGACGUGAAAUUAUAUGUUUUCUUACUGCUCAACUUUCAUUUACUUUUAUUACUUACUGAGUUAGCGUACUCACAUUACUCCCUGCACCUUGUGUGCAGAUUCAGGUAUUUCUGAACCCGGUAGCGGGUGUUGAUUGCUUAGUGGCAAAGUCAUCGGAGUUAGCAAGGUAGCUGCCCGACGUUCGCAGCCCUGCUCUUCUCUCUCUUGUCUUCCUUAGACUAUUUUUAGUUUAUUUUCAUACUCUUCGUUGUAUUCAGACCUUAGUAGAUGCUCGUGACUUGUGACACCCUGAUGUCGGGCUUGUACAUUUGUUCCGCACUGGUUAUUUAGACAUAUACUAUAAGAUUUCUUGUUAAUUAAUGGCUUAAAAUGACUGUUAUAGAAAAAAUGGUUAGAUUUAGGAAUUGUGUCGGCUGGCCUAGUUCCACAAUAGGCGCCAUCACGACCGGGUCUAUUUUAGGGUCGUGACAAGUUAGUAUAAGAGCACUAGGCUACAUAGGCCUCACGAGUCAUGAACAGGUUUAGUAAAGUCUUGCAGAUCGGUACGGAGACGUCUGUACUUAUCUUAGAGAGGUUGCAGAACCAUUUAGAAAAUUCACAUUCUUGAAUUCUUAUCGUGCGACAUUGAUUAAACUUGAAGCAUAAUUCCUUGAAUUCCUUCCACGCAUUCGUUUGCGCACAUGAGCGUUCGGUAUCUACUGUGCAUCUACAACUUGUGAUUCCCUGGAUGAGGUGCGAGAUGUGAUUUCUAUGUGUGAUGUUGGCCAGUCUAGAGGACUUAAGGUCGGGUUUUAUCUGUGGCUUGAGUACUAAGAUUUCGAUUGUGUGAGCACGUGCAUUUGACACUUAUAUGUCCGUUUGUGUCCUUAUUGGUAGGAUUUUUGAUUGGACAACUAUAGGGUGAGUAUGAUUUGAUUGCGAGAUGUAUUCAGAUUGUUCGAAUGUGACAAGAAGAGUUUGUUAGAGAUGUAGUAAGGACUAUUGGGUGUUUGACUUCCAUCUUGGGUUGACGUAUGACCUCGAGCUAUGGGUGUGUUGAAGUACCUCUCGUGUAGUUUAGUUGUUGAGUGGAGUAGAUCUUCAUGUUGUGUUAUGAGUUCAGUCUGAGGGGGGAUUAAGUGAUUGCAUAAUAGUAUGAUUAUGGAAGAAUGUAGAGAGAUACUAGUUUGAGGCUAAGUAGGUGGGUUACCUCAUACGGGAACCCUAUGAGAGUUAGAUUGACUGUUACGAGGGUGAAUGCGAGAUUUGCAAAUGGUUUGAGGAAUUAGAUGGGUUGUGUUGCAUAAGCUUAUGAAGGAUUUAAUUUAAUCUCAUCUGGUUGGGGUAGCUCAACCAAUUAUUGCGGCACAGACCGAUGAUAGGCCUGCCUUGUCUUUUGAGGCUUUGCCGAGAUUGGAUAAGUUUACCUAGCUAUUUCCAGUCCAUUUUAGUGGUACACCUUCUGAGGACCCACAGGAUUUUCUGAACCGCUGCCAUGAAGUAUUGCAGAAUAUGGGAGUAGUUGAAAGCAAUAGGGGUUGAUUUUAUUGUGUUUCAGAUGACGGAUUCCGCCAAGAGGUGGUGGAAAGAUUAGGUAUUUACUAGACCUGUUAUAGUUUCGUCCGAAGAUGCGGACGUAUUGAGAAGAUCACCUAGUGAAUCUUGUAGGGGUGCAAUGACCUUGACGUUUUGUUGAUUUAUAUGAGUUAAAAGGUCAACAUUGUAGAUUAUCGGACGUUGUGACCCAUGACUUUGCGCAAAAUGGGGAUGUCCACUAUCAAUGAAUAGAUCGAAUGGUCAUGUGUUAUAUCAAUUUUGACCUGAAAUGUAUAUAUAUAUAUAUAUGGUAUUGAAAGGCUACCCGAUAAUUUACACUUAUUUAAGGCAUGAUACAUACAAGGGAUAAGGUUGUGACUUGUGGUAUGUCUGCCUCUUUAAUUAUCCAAUACUUCAGUAUCAAAGGAGUUAGAAAAACAACCUUAAAUUUAUUUAAGUCCGCUUAGUGUGGAAGUCAAGGUUACAGAUUUUGGGGUGCUUCAAAGGAAGUACAGUGGUUGACGAUCUUCUAGACUAUGUAGUUCGUGCCAAGAUUUAUCUUGAUGUAGGUAUACUUUUGUGAUUAUUGUGCAUAAUUAGGGGAAAGAGUUACCCCAAAUAAGAAUCGGAGAGUAUAUAAAUAAAUAGGUUAGCUCAGCAGUCUUGAGUCAACAUAGCAAAAGAAGAAAUUAGCCUCUGGUAUUUGUGGCAAGCCUAUGAAGAGGGCAGACUAGCCAAUGCAACACCACCUACUCAGCUCAGUUCUCAUAAAUGUUUUUGAAGGAGCUUGUCUCCCAGAUUCUCCGUAAUAUGUGGUAUAUGGGGUUUGAACAGUAGUGUCAGGUCACCAUGACGGUGUCAGAAUAUGUCAUCAGGUUCAAUAAGUUAGCCGUCAUACUCCUACUUUGGUUCCUAAGCUAGAGAGUGAGUCCACAGACUCAUUAAAGGACUCAAUUAUGAUCUUGAAAUUUAGUAAAACUCGGGAAGCUAUAGGUUGAUGCUUCAUUUCGGCUAGUGGUAGAAAUUGCCAAAAUGUUAGAAUGUGUUCUGGAUAAGGAAAAAAAGAAGCUAAGAAGACCAAGAUGUCUCGAGGUUUUAAAGGAUUCAGCGGAUUCUACUCUACAACUACAAAUUAUUAUGACAGGGGCUUGGGUAGCUGGCCAGCCCAGUCAAUAUAUCUGAUUACUCGGGGUGCUCCAGAAAGUUCUUUUAAUGCACCACCGCCACGAGGUUCGUAUAAUGGUUAUUCCAGUUAUCUAUCAUGGACUCAGUAUGAGCAGUCGAACCCUCAAAGGGAUUGUUAUGAAUGUGGUAGUACUAGGCACAUCAUGGGAAAAUUGUCCUAGACUUGGGAGAAAUAUAUUUUGUAAAAGCACUCAGGCUACGUGCCCCAUUACAGUUACUACUCCACUUACAUGACCAACCAGAGGUAGGGGUCAGGAUGUUAGAGGUGGAGGUGAGACUCCUAGAGGUGCAGACCGAGCCGUUGAUAUAUUUUCUAUGUAUGGCUGAGGUCGCAACACCAAAUGGUGUCGUUACAAGUACGGUCUCGAAUUAUUAUAAAGUAACAAUUUUGUUAACUUGAUUUGGUUUUGAGUAUCGAGGCAAGUCCUCCUAUGGUUCUCCACUUAUGAGUGAGCUUCGUAAUUCUGAAAUAUGCUUAUGUGAAUACUCUUAUUGGGAAAUUCGAUAGAGAUAGCUAUGUCUAUCAUUAUGUGUUGUGAUUUUGUUAAACGAAAAAUUAUUCAAAAGAAUAAAAUGGAAUGUUCCAAUUUGGCACGAUGUGCAUAUUACCUGUGGUACAGAGUUGAGGACGAGAUCCUCGUGUUUUAUAUAAUGUGAAAUAUUUAAACCGAGCUACAAGCUGCGGUAGAUGUUAUAUAAGGACGAGGUCCUUGUGGUGAAAAAAAAUUAUGUGUCUAAAUGCUCCCUUUGUGAAAUUAAAGUGUGUACUAUAGUACUUAUAGGGAGUCAUGCCUAUUAGACUUAUCUGCAAAAAAAAAAUUGUAUGAAUAUCUUUGUGCAUAAUUUUCCAGGUUCGUAUUGUAAUUAUUGAGUUUUAGACUACGAGGUGAGUGCCCGGGGAUGUAAAUUGUUACUCGUUAAUUUGGGUAAGUAAUUAUGAGAUCUUCAUGCCUCGUUGUUAGUAAACUUGAGGUUUGAAAUGAGAUUUUAUUAACAUAAGGUUAACUGGUGAAGUUGUAAUCUAUUAUGAACAACUAUGAUGCAUUUUAUGUCAAGAUAUCAUUGUGAUAAUGUCGUGCUUGUAAUGGGGAGAUUAGUGUUAUUGAUAUAUACUUUGUGGUGCUUUGCUGGGUUGUGGACAUGUUGUUAGGAGUUGUUUUGGUAUUACUCUGACAGGUGGAUAGGCCCAAUUACAGGGGAGACUCUGCCGAAAUUUCUGAAAAAUUUGGGAGUUAGAAAACUUUGGGAUAUUGAGAUGUGCAAAGAAAGAGAUAAGUUACAUUAUGUGUUAGGACGGACUCUACUUCUCAUUUGAGGGCGAAUGACCCUAAGUGGGGGAGAAUGUAAUACCCCAUAUUUGAUGGGUGCCUAGGCAUGAGUUGCUAUAGCUAGUCGAGACUAAUAUCAUGUGUUGGCGUGAAAAUCGGACCUUUCUGGAAAUGAUUGUAGUGUAAGAAAUUUGGUCUUUAAGUUUACAAAUAUGGAUAAAGGAAAUAAUCUCAAUUGAAAUGGUAUUGUCAGACUUAUGUUGAAUGCGGUAAUGUGGGACAAUCGUGAAUAUUUAUGUAAAAGUAAAAUCAUCAAUUUGGCAACCUGAGAAUAAUUCUUAGUACGUUCGAGGACGAACGUUUGUUUUAGAGGUGGAGAAUGUGAUGACCCAAAGUGUCAUCUUUAAAUUAAAUAAUUAUCUCGGUAUUUUAAGACCUUGAAAAGCAGAAUCAAUAAUUCUCCGACUUGCGUGCUCAGUCCAUAUAAUUUCCCGGAAGGUUUUUAUGUAAAAAUGUAUUAAAUUGUGAAUUAGAGCUUUAAACCUCAACUAAUUUGACUUCGGUCAAUAUUUUGAGCAAACGAACCCGGAUCCAAGUUUUGACCAUUCUGGUAGUUCCGUAUCGUGAUUUGGGACUUGGUCAUAUGCCCGAAAUCGAAUUCAGAGGUCCCUAGCUCAAAUUAUCGUCAUUUAACGGAAUCUAGAAAUCUAAGGCUAAAAAUUUCUUAAGUUUGACCGGAGAUUUGGAUUUUGAGCAAACGACCCCGGAACGCAAUUUUGAUGAUUCCAAUAGUUUCGUAUGGUAUUUUGGACUUACGAGCAUGUUAGGAUUUGAAUUUGGAAGUUCGUAGGACAAUUUGACGCAUUUUGGGGAAAGUUGAAAAUAGAAGAUUUUUGGAAAGUUUGACCGAGAGUUGACCUUUUGAUAUCGGGUCAGAAUUCGAUUAUGAAAAUUGUAAUAGAUCCAUUAUGUCAUUUAUGACUUGUGUGAAAAAUUUGAAGUUAUUCCGGGUUGAUUUGAUAUAUUUCGACGCAAAAAGUAAAAGUUGGAAGAUAUGAAAACCCAUAAUUCAAUUCAAUGCGUGAUUCGUAAUUUCGGCGUUGUUUGAUGUGGUUUGAAGCCUCGAUUAAGUUUGUAUUGUAUUUUGGAGCAUGUUGGUAUAAUUGGUUAAGGUCCCGAGAGCCUCGGGUGGAUUUCGGAAGGUUAACGGGAUAGAUUUUGGACAAAAAAACAAGUUGCUGAAAUUUUCUGUUGCAGAAGCUUUGGACAGCACUGUGCAAUCGUGGAGCCUAUUUCGGAAGCUUGUAUCUUGAAAUCAGUAAGGAAUAUGAAAAUUUACAAAACAUGAAAGUUGUAGCCCUUGCAUCCUAGUUUUAAAAAAGUUAAAUUAUUAAUCAUUAGAACAUCUAUACAUAAAGUUAUGAUCGAUUUACUGAAGGCUGGUCAAGCUGUUUUGAAAAGUUUUCAGAAAUUUCUGAUGCGAGUAGGCUACUUUGGGAGCUUAUAUCUCGCUAUCUAUAAGGAACUGAGUGAUGAGCAACACAUCAAAGUUGUAGCUCUUGGUGUCGAAUUUCCAGAAAGUUAAACCGUUCAUCAUUUGGAUAUUUGUACAGAACGUUAUGAUCGAUUUACUGAAGGCUGGUAAUGCUGUUUUUUCUGGGACAGAGGUGAAAUCGCAUGUAUCAAAUGCGAUUUAUGAGUCUGAAUUGACAAGUGCAACUUGCCUGGAUAGAUUCUUAAACACGAGAGUUAGUCAUUUUUACUCAUUUUUGAAUUUUGAGUCUCGGAUUUAGGCGAUUCCAANNNNNNNNNNNNNNNNNNNNNNNNAUCCAUGUCCAUAUUCACCAAUUAUUUCGGAUUUAGGUGUAAGAAAUUGGAAUUUCUAUAAAAUCUUCAAAAAUGAAUUUUCAAGAUUUGAACAUCGAUUCGGAGUCAGAUUUGAGUAAAAUUAGUAUGGUUGGACUCGUAAUUGAAUGUGUUAUCGUAUUUUGUGAGUUUUGUCGUAUUCCGAGACGUGGGCCCCACAGGAAAAUUUUGGGAUAAUUUCGGAUUUUGUUGGAAAAUUAAUAUUUUCAUAUGGAAUUAAUUCCUAUAAUUAGUAUUGACUGAAUUGAAUUAAUUGUGGCGUGAUUCAGAUCGAUUGGAGGCCGAUUCGAGGGGAAAAAGCAUUUCAGAGUAGGAUUUUGCUCGGAUUGAGGUAAGUAAUGAUUGUAAAUGUUGUCCUGAGGGUAUGAAACCCCGAAUUUCACAUCGUUGCACUACUUUGUGGUGACACACACGCUAGAUGACGAGCGUGGAGUCGUGCACCGUUGGAGAUUGUGACUUAGUCCGUCCCGUAUGACUUUUAAACCGCGUAUUUAAUUGAAAAUUGUUUGAUAUAUUGUGUUUUGGAAAGUAUUAUCAUGUUUUGGGCUGAAUGCCAUAUUUGGGCCUCGUGCCAACUGAUUUGGACCCUUAGAGGGUUUUUACUACUAUUCCUCACUGUUUUGACUUCAUAUUUGUACUUAGUCAUGCUGUAUUCUAUUAUUUUCAUAACUCAACCAUAUUUACUCCGUUUUAAUAUUUUAAAUGAUAUUUUGGGUUGAGCAUCAUGUUUUACUAUUGCUCGAGUGGCAUGAGAGAUUUCUGACUGAGUGACGCGGAGGGCCUGUGUUGCGAGGAUACUAUGGGAUCGGGUUGCUUGCCGCAGUAGUGUUAUACUGAUUCAUGAUUUUGAGGCCGAGGGCCUGAUUUGUUACACCACGAGGUGGCUCGUUGAUAUGAGGCCGAGAGCCUAUUUGAUUAUGCCACGAGAUGGCUUAUUAUUGCGCUUGGGCCGUAAGGGGCCCCUCCAGGAGUCUGUACACCCUCAGUGAGUGCGGAUACCUAGUGUGAGUGAUAUGAUGUAGCCUAAGGGGCUGUUGGUGUUUCAUAUUGUUGCCGGAGGGGCUGUUCUUGAUCCAUGUUUUGCCCGAGAGGUGGUUCAUGAUUCACGUUGUGCGCGAGAGGCUGAUUACGAGUGAUUGUGAGGUAGCCCGAGGGGAUGGUUCUGUUGAUAUUAUGUCCGAGGGGCGGUUUAUGGUAUAUGUUUUUCCUGAGGGGCUAUUUACAUUUCUAUCAUUUUCACUCACUGUAUUAUCACUCGUUUGAAACUAUUGAAAGUUAUUUUAAAAGGUUUCGUUUGCUUUUAUUACUUAUUGAAUUGGCGUACUCACAUUACUCCCUGCACCUUGUGUGUAGAUUCAAGUAUUUCUUAAUCCGGUAGCGUGUGUUGAUUGAUCAGUGGCAGAGCAUCGGAGUUAGCAAGGUAGCUACCCGAUGUCGAGCUUGUACAUUUGUUCUGUACUGGUUAUUUAGACAUAUACUAUAAGAUUUCUUGUUAAUUAAUGUCUUAAAAAGAUUGUUUUAGAAAAAAUGGUUAGAUUUAGGAAUUGUGUCGGCUGGCCUAGUUCCACGAUAGGCGCCAUCAUAACCGGGUCUGUUUUAGGGUCGCGACAUUAACAAAUUUUGCAAAUGUACAUACACAUAUUCCUUUUUCUUGGAAAUCACACACACUCACAUGCUCACAUUAUUGGAUAUGCCUUACGUUAUGCUCCUUAGGAAAGUUUUCAGUAAUUUGAUUUUUUUUCUUUUCCUUGUUUUAAACACAAAUAUUCAUUGUGCGCUAUUAUUCUUUUUGUUUUCAUACAUAUUUCACAUAGGCACAAUAGGCCCACACGUUUUCUCUCUCCAAAACACUCAGAUAUAAACCUCACCCCUCACUCAUUUAUGGAUAGAGACAGAAGAAAAAAAGACUCGAAAAGGGCCACCCCUUCAACCCUCGAGAACCUUCUGUUUCUUCUUCAAAAAGAGCCUUCUUUUGCUUCUUCUUGAAAAUCAGCGAUACACACACGAAAAAAAUAGAGGGUCUGGAAGAAAAAUCUUAGGGUUUUGAAGAAAAAUAGUUUUCUAUAAUUUGUGAUUUGAUUUUCUUUUUCUAAAAUAUUCCAGAUAACCAAAAAAAUAUUUCUGUUUUUUUAGUUGAGUGAAGAUUUGACUUCAGGUAGUUCGUUUUAAAAAAAUGUUGUUUAUCAUCUUUGAUUUCUGGUUUCAAAAAAAAAGUGGAUGCAAGUUGAGGUUUGAAGCUGAUUCAAUUCGUCGUUUGGAGGUUCGAGUUCGGGGUUCCGAUUGAGGUUUUUGAUUGUUGUUGUUUGCUCUCGUCGGACUUCUGGAAUCAGAAUUUGUGUAUUUGUUGAUUCUUUAACUGUUGCUAAGAAUUUUGGUUUAAUAGGUACCUUUCUAUUACUCCUGCCUCUAUAUUGUUUCUUAGUUUGUGGUUAAAUGAGAGAUUGUUGGUCUGAAUUUUUGGAUGCCAAAAUAUUUGUGAUCAUUUUUCUGUUUGUGAUACUAAAAUUAGUUUGUCUUCUCUUAUGAGGUAAAAUUGAAGAUUUGAAUGAGUUUUUUUAGUUAAUAAAUGGGUUCAUCUAUUUUAUCUCAAAUUAUGAUAUUUGAGUAGUGAAAUUUUACUACAAGAUUUUCAACACAAAUUUGGUCCAACUCAGUGUUCUUUCUUUCGAGAUUUAGCUUGUGUAUAAAUUUUGCCUAUUAAACUUUUCUUAUUAGCUUACAGUAGGCUUAAGGUAUGAAUUUCCUGCCUUAUUUUAGUUGUAAUGACCUUAUGUUAAAUUGGUGGAAUUUAAGCAAUAUGAUACCAAAUUUUGGUUAAGUAGCUGCAAAUCUCCCGAGCUCUCUUAGGUGUUAAAUCUGCUUAAUUACUUGAUGUGUGGAUUAUUGUUAUUUUGCAAAGGUGUCAUGUUUAUAUUAUUUACUUGGAUGUUUCACGGAAUUGAGGUUGAAUAUGAUUUUUUUCUUGAAUUGGAUGUUUUGUUGCGUUCAAGAUUUGGAAAAUAUACGAGUAUUUAUCUGUUGUUAGAAAGAUGUCCUUUUGGUGUUUAACCAAGACCGUUAUUUAUUCAUUUACAUUAGUUAUUUUAUUGUUGUUUAUUCUUAUUCUCUUAAUUCCUUGCUCCAACUAAUUGGCGUCUGUUCGCUUCUUAGAUUUUCUCUCUAUGAAUGGUAUGAGCCGUAAGGUUGGGAAGGGCCUACCCCUUUUAGUGAUUAAAAUUACUUACAUGUCUAGGAAUUGGAAUGUGUCGAAUGCAUGAAAUCCUUUUAGUAAAAAUUCUCCAUAACCUCGGGCCCUUCUUUCUCACAAUCACCAAAUUGAGAAUUACACAAUUCAUAAACAUCGUAGUUUGCUUUAGGCGCGACUUAAUUUAUCAUCGGGAUUGUGUACACGUUCGCGUGACAUAAUUACGAUUUUAAAACAAAACCAGAGUAUGCAUCCGCGUAACUUCGGCCAAACUUUCUUAAUAAUGAUAAAGCAUUAUUAAUUGUGGACACGUUCGCGUGACAUGAUUUUUGGCGCGCCAAACAAAUGAGUACACGUACACGUGACUCGUUUUAAGAUAAUUCCAUAAUUACGAAUAAUCAAGCAAUUAAAAGCGGUAAAAAGGUAAAUGCACAUAGGUUCUAAAAUAUGUAAUUAAACAAUUUAAUUGAGCCAAGUAUGAUUAAAGCGACCAUGCUAAAACCACGGAACCCGGGAAUGCCUAACACCUUCUCUCGGGUUAAUAGAAUUUCUUACCCGGAUGUUUGUGUUCGCAGACCAUAAAUAGAGUCAAAACUUUCCUCGAUUCGGAAUUUUAAACCGGUGACUUGGGACACCAUAAAUUAUCCCAAGUGGCGACUCUAAAUUUAAUAUAGAUAAUCCCGUUUUGAUUGUCAGUUAAAUUGAAAAAACUCCCUUAUACCCCUUUCGGGGUAGAAAAAGGAGGUGUGAUAUCAAAGACGUGUUUUCCUAUUCCUAUGAUGAUAUGCCAGGACUGAGUGUUGAUUUAGUGGUGCACAAAUUGCCAACUUACCCCGAUUAUCCCCCUGUCCAACAAAAAUCGAGAAAGUUUAAAAUAGACAACGGUGACUAGAUCAAAGAAGAAGUCACCAAAUAGUUGAAAGCGUGUGUGAUCCGGGUGGUCCGAUACACCACAUGGUUGGUUAAUGUAGUCCCAGUGCCAAAGAAAGAUUGAAAAACCCGAGUGUAUGUUGAUUAUCAGGAUUUGAACAAAGCAAGACCUAAGGACAACUUUCCAUUACCAAAUAUCCACAUCCUUAUUGACAACUAUGCCAAACAUGAGAUACAGUCUUUCGUGGAUUGUUACACUAGGUAUCAUCAGGUCCUGAUGGAAUAAUGAAGACGCAGAAAAGACGACUUUCACCAUACCUUGGGUUAUUUACUGUUACAGGGUCAUGCCGUUUGGUUUAAAGAAUGCUGGGGGAACUUACAUGAGAGCUAUGACUGCCAUCUUUCUUGACAUGAUGCACCAGGAAAUUGAGGUGUAUGUGGAUGAUGUGAUCAUUAAAUCCAGAAUGCAGGAUGACCAUGUGCGAGAUUUGAGAUAGUUCCUUGAGCGCCUGCGUAAGUAUGAUGUGAAGUUAAAUCCAGCUAAGUGUGCAUUUGGAGUACCAUCUAGGAAACUUUUGGGUAUAUAGUCAGUGUAUUCGGAAUUUGCCCCCUCCGAGAACCAAUAAAGAGGUUAUGAGUCUACUGGGAAGGUCGAAUUACAUUAGUAGGUUCAUUGCUCUGUUGACUUCCACGUGUGAGCCCAUAUUUAUGUUAUUGAAGAAAGAUGCAGCGAUUAGAUGGAUAGAUGAAUGUCAAGAAGCUUUCGACAAAAUCAAAGAAUAUCUGUCGAAUCCGCUAGUGUCGGUCCCACCCAAACUUGGAAGGCUUUUGUUCUUGUACUUGACAGUGUUGGAGAAUUCUUUUGGAUGUGUUCUCGGGCAACAUGAUGUGACCGAGAAGAAAGAACAAGUCAUAUACUAUUUGAGCAAGAAGUUCACUAGUUAUGAAGCCAAGUACGCUUUGUUGGAACGAACUUGCCGCGCUUUAACUUGGGCCGCUCAGAAGCUUAGACAUUACUUGUUGGCUUAUACCACCUAUCUCAUAACCAGGCUGGACCCCUUGAAGUACAUAUUCCAAAAGUCGAUGCCCAUAGGGAGGUUAUCAAAAUGGCAAAUCCUGCUCACCGAGUUUGACAUAGUCUAUGUCACCCACACGGCGAUGAAAGCUCAAGCCUUGGCGGAUCACUUAGUUGAGAAUCCUGUUGAUGAUGAAUACCAACCCUUGAUUACUUAUGAUCACGCUCAACUAUGUCUAUUAAAAGACUAAGCGGGUGUUGCAAAUAUAAUUCAGGGUAUUAUGCCCCGAGUCGAAUCCCACAGGGAAUUAACGUAUCAAGAGAAGCCUUUAAAGUACUAAAUUCUUAUAAGUCAACCUUCUCAAACUUUGUAAAUAACAAGUGGUGUUAUGGUCACUACUCCAACUAACAGAAUCGAUAAAAUGAAGAUUAACUACUACACAGUUGUAGACAAUUGGAAUAAAGGUCUAAGGUAAUGGUUUUCCCCGUUAUUGAAUUCCUUAGUCGUAUGUUUCUUAAAGUUAUGAAUUAGUUGUCUUUGUCGAUCAUGAACUCUCCAGUUAUCAUAACUCUCUCUCAAGCAAUUAUGAUAAUUUACUAGACGCACUCUCUCAAGCUACACUAGCUAGAUUCGCAUUACAGUUCACUUAGAUUGCACCCGAGGUAUCGUUAUCUCUACUCCAACCUCUAAACCCUCGGUUAUGACUCUCGCCUAUACUCCGGGAGUGAUGUUGUUCAAACAAUAACCUAAAUAUGGACUCUCUCUCAAGAAGAUACAUAAUAAAUAGGAACGGCUAAUGGAGGAUCCUUUCAACUAACCAAAAUCAAAACGUAGUUGAACAAAUAGAGAUUAACAACCAAUUCAAACUAUAUUAAUAUAACAACAAGUUCAUCCACAAUGGGUUCACCCAAAACCUUAGAUUAAAAGAGUUAGCUACUCAUAACAAUGAUGUUCAUCACAAUAAUUAAAUUCAUUACAAAUCAUAAAAACAAAAGGAAGAAGAGAAGAACUUGAUGUAGAAUACUCCUCCUUGACUUUCCUUUUCUUGCUCUCAGCUAUCAAAAGUUGCACACACACUCCUUGGGCGAGCUUGACCUUCUAUAUAUUAAGUGAAUUUUCCCCCCAGACUUCCAAAUUUACCCCCAGGAAUUAUUUUCCGGAACUGGGCUAGCGCGGCCGCGCUAGUGGGCGCGCUAAUGGCCGUGCUAGUAGCCUUACCAUUCUGCCUCGACCAUCUGGGCUAGCACGGUCGCGCUAGUGGAUGCGCUAAUGGCCACGCUAGUCCAGGCCUUCAUUUGGUUGAUUCUUUUUCUCGUCGUCUCACUUACUCAGCUCCUAGGGGUCUUUCUUGCUUCAAUGCAGCUCCAAUCACAUUUUUAAGGCCUUAUAUAAGCUCCUCAUUCCUACAACACAAUUUAGAGCUCAUUUUUCAUCAUUUGAUUAUAUUAGAGCAUUGAAACAUAAUCAAGCUGGGGCAAAACAAUCGUCAAAUGACAUAAAUCUAGCCUAAUAUCAACAGCCCACACUUAAAUCUUUGCUAGUCCUCGAGCAAUCCACCACCUUUUAUGAAGGUUCCUUCACUAAGCAUUCUUCCCUAACGCAUCAUACCAUGAACAGAUCACAUGAGUUACACCUAGUAGUGAACAAUCUUAUCCUCAAAAGUUGACUCUCACGUGUCGUGCAAUAUUCAUACUUUCUCAAGCUACUCUACACAUAAGUCAAUAAGUGCCUUUCCUUCAUGAAUCACAUUCCCUCACCUUCACACAAAGAGAGUAGUUCCACAUAUAAUGAUAUUUAGAACAAUUAGGAACUUAGAUAGAUGAACUUCACUCACUCUCAGAAAUUACAUUCACAUGUCACAAAGAUGCACCAUAAGCUUGCUCGUAGUGUACUACUCUACUAAUUGAGCCACUCAGUCUAAGAUCAAUAGGACUUCACUUGGUUGUAAUGUAGGCUAAGGGACUGAUAGGAUAUAUUUGGUGUAGUGACUAACCUCCCUAAGCACUUUUUAAUACAAUUACAUUAACAUUCAAAACCAUACUUCUGUCAACCAAACAUUUCACCACCGUUCUUUUAUUUACCACAACCCCAUCCAUUAGGUGCAAUUAUAGAAAACCACCACUUCUCAACCACUGUAUUAUUCUCCUUUUUUAAUGGUGGUGCUUCAUUUCUUAUGCGACAAAAUUCUACACCUUUUUUCGAUUUCUGUGGUUCCACUCAAAAACCAACCCCACCCCACACCUUUGCCUUUGCAUAAUUCUCAAUACCAUUCAAGUGCUUAUGUGAGGAAAGAGGGUUCAAAUAGAAGGCUAUUCAAAUAAUUGGGUAAGGUUUGCAAUGUGUUUGCCAAAGAAAUAGGCUUAUAGGCUCAACGGGGUUAACUAAGAUGUAUUGCAGUUAGGUGGGUUUACUUUAUAAGUCUGGCUCAACAAGGAAUUGCCUAUAUCACUUCUAAGACUGAAUGAAACUACUAUUUCGCUUUGCAAACACACAGGGCAAGUUCUAGGCAUCAAAUGUGAAUCAUGGAAUACAGUAAAACUCACACAUAUGGCAUAUGACUCAUUCAAGAUUGGCUUAUCAAGACACUCUCUUCUGAGUAUUCAAGUCAGUGACGAAUAUACAAUUUAAGGCACUUUAGCAAGAAUCAACUACUGAGAAUAAGCGUUACACUCUAGUGUCUAUUGUGUUCAGGUGUAAUAAUGCUAGAGGCUUUUCUUUUCGAAUUCAGCUCAUUAUUCCAUUAAUCCUAAUUUAAAAACUAAAAAGAAAACAAAAUGAUUACAAAACUACCUAUACCCGGUUCAAGUUAAACCCUUGGAAAAGAACCGUGGCCCAAAGAAAAACCAAGGGGGAGUUACUACACUACCUAAAAAAAUCUUUUUGUAAUUUUAAAUUGUUUUUCUUACAUACUAGCUUCCCUCAAGAAAAUUAUCUAAAGGAUCCAUCAUCAGGAAGAGUCUUUAUUUUCAUUUUUUUUAUGCUCGACUUAGUCCAAGAUACUUACCUAUUUUAAACUAAUCAACUCCUACUUAAUCAUCAAAGCAAUCAAAGCUAAACCACCAAAACAAUCAAAACAAAACAAAACCAACUAGUCAAAGGUUACAAUUACAUAUAUACAAUGAAGUAUCCCUACCCCACACUUAUAAUUAAGACAUGUCCCCAUGGCUUUAAAAAAUUAAAGAGUAGUGAGGUAGAGGUACUUCCCUGAUGGCUCACUCCUGGUCGGAGACGGUGUCUAGGUUCACAUUGCACGCGCGACCCAGAGCUCUCAACCAGCCCAAGAACUUCUUUUCAGACUUUACCUGUCUGUCAGCCACGGCCUCAACACGGGUACCUAAAUCUGUGACUGAAGUACGUAACCCAACCAUCUCUUGUUUCAAAUUGUUCAUACGGGUGCUCCGGGGACUAGGGUUCAGUCCUUACAUUCUCCUCUUCUUCAUCUUUAUCGCCUGAGUCGUCAGAGCUACCACUACUCUCUUCCUCUGCUGCUGCUGGCUCCUUUCCCAUGGUUACUUUGUCCGCUCGAAACUUGCGGUCCUUUUUCACAAGCCCAUCCGCAGCUAGAUUUUUGGGCACUCGAGCAUACCUGUAGUGAGAGUGAGGAGUAGAUAAGAGGGUUAAAGGGGAAUGUUGUUGGAGACGAAGAUGAAAAUUUUCUGGAAGAAGGGAGUAGAAGAAGAAAAGAAUUUGAGUUGUGAGAGAUUGGGGAGGGUUUUGUGAAUUGUUUUAGGGCGUGUGUUUUGGUGUGGGGGGGGGGGGUUGUUAGAUGUGGGUUAUUAGAUGAGGGGGGAAUUUGGAUUAAAGAAAGAGAAAAAAAAUAAUUGAAUGAUACAAAAAAAUAAGAACAAGUGUUACGUUUUAAAAAAAUGUCCCUGAGUAGCGCGUUCAGAUGCGCGAGAGCGCUAGUCUAGUGCGUCCAAGGUAGAAAGUUUUGGCAAUUUAGUGCGAUCGCGCUAGUAGCGCGGCCGUGCUGGGAGGCUUCAAUUUUAUUUUAUUUUUUACACUUUUCACCUGAUUUUUCCAUUUUUCGAUUGCCUUAUCACCCGCCCAUUGUCACCUGCAUUGGUUAGCAUUUUAAAAAACUCACAAUUAACCACUACUACUACUACUGUCGGGUUGCCUCCCGACCAGCUCCUAAGUUAACGUCGUGGAACGACACAAACAACGUUACCACUUUUCUCGCCACUUGGAUGAUAUGAACUGGGCACCUAGCUUGGAAUCAAGCUUGUGACCACGAGCGAUGGGGGGUGGUAAGUCGAUGAUCAAGUCAAUCCUUAAGUUCUUCAUUUUGUACUUCUUGGCUCUCAUGUGAGGAAUGUCAUUUUGCUUUCUUGCUUCCUCCAACUGUAAAAUUUAUGAUUGUUGCCUUUCCUCCUCGCAAUCCCUCAUUGACCCGUGCAGUUCAAUUUUCAUAUCACCACACAAUUCCAAUGUUGAAAAAUGCUUGGAAUGUGACUUCAAACCAUCAUUUUGCAAUUUUCCUCGGAUUUUGACAACCUCUUUUUUUCCCGGAUUAGAGUCAAUUUCAACCACAUUUUCAUUUACACAGGUUGACUCUAAUUCCAUAUUUUUCUUGGCAUUAUUAACACUCAUGGGGUCGGUUAGCGGAUGUUCAAUUCUUGAAUCCUCAAAGUAAAGCUCACUUUCUUCCUCGGAAUUGGGCUUUUCUUGGCUUCCUUCCACACUCUCAAGUUGGUGGGAAUAGUGAGCCUCAACCAAUAUUUGCAUUUGAUCCUCCAAAGUGCGGAUAUGCUCAUCAUUGUGAGACAAACCUUGUUUCUAGUCCUCGAGUGCAAAGUUGUGCUUCUCCUUAUUUUUAAGAAUGGUCUCCAACAUGAGCAUCAUCUUCUCAUUUUGAGCAAUUGCGAGUUUUUCUUGGUUUUGUUCAAGUGCCAAGGGAGGAUUUUCGGCUUCCACAUCUAAGGAAAAUUCUUGGCUAUCAUUAACUUCCGAGGAUUUUUGGACCUCUAAAGCUUCAAGCAUUUUCUCCAUUUGCACAUUUAACCUUUCUAGUGUCAAGCCAUUUUGGAGACUAUUCUCCAAAAGCUCCUCCAAGGCAUGUUGUUCUUUGUUUCCUCCUUCAAGUAGGCAUUCUAACAUGAGCUUGAACUCUCCAUUUCGGCCAUGCUCAACUUCUUAUACUUCCAUAGCCCUAUAAUUUUCAUCACAAAAAGUAGAAUCAUCAUAGCGGGGGCUUCGGGAAGGGAAGGACAAAUAAGCACAAUCAUCCCAAUGACCAUUUUGAAAAUCACACUUAUCACAAAUACUCCACUCAUGGGUUUGAGAUUGUACGCACAAUCCACCCCCGGGAGAAUUUAAACAAUUUUUCCAUGAGUGUGGUCCUCCACAAUAAGGACAAGGGUCAUCAAAGUAAAAAUAACUACAAUCCGACCAAUUUUCAUUAUAUGAUGCCAUUUUUCAAAACUAAGAAAAUAAACAAGAAAUAAACAAUAAAAAUAGACCAAGGUAUAGAGAGAACUAACUACACUAAGAAUUUUGGUACUUCUUUCAAUCGUAACUGAUAAUACCGUUAAUUCCCCGGCAACGGCACCAAAAUUGGAUCACGCUCAACUGUGUCUACUAAAAGACUAAGCGGGCGUUGCAAAUAUAAUCCGGGGUAUUAUGCCCCGAGUCGAAUCUCACAGGGAAUUAACGUAUCAAGAGAAGCCUUUAAAGUACUAAAUUCUUAUGAGUCCACCUUCUCAAACUUUGUAAAUAACAAGUGGUGUUAUGGUCACUACUCCAACUAAUAGAAUCGAUAAAAUGAAGAUUAACUACUACGCAGUUGUAGACAAUUAGAAUAAAGGUCUAAGGUAAUGGUUUUCCCCGUUGUUGAAUUCCUUAGUCGUAUGUUUCUUAUAGUUAUGAAUAAGUUGUCUCUGUCGAUCAUGAACUCUCCAGCUAUCAUAACUCUCUCUCAAGCAAUUAUGAUAAUUUACUAGACGCACUCUCUCAAGCUACACUAGCUAGAUUCGCAUUACAGUUCACUUAGAUCGCACCUGAGGUAUCGUUAUCUCUACUCCAACCUCUAAGCCCUCGGUUAUGAAUCUCGCCUAUACUCCGGAAGUGAUGUUGUUCAAACAAUUACCUAAAUAUGCACGCUCUCUCAAGAAGAUACAUAAUAAAUAGGAACGGCUAAUUGAGGAUCCUUUCAACUAACCAAAAUCAAAACGUAGUUGAACAAAUAGAGAUUAACAACCAAUUCAAACUAUAUUAAUAUAACAACAAGUUCAUCCACAAUGGGUUCACCCAAAACCUUAGAUUAAAAGAGUUAGCUACUCAUAACAAUGAUGUUCAUCACAAUAAUUAAAUUCAUUACAAAUCAUAAAAACAAAAGGAAGAAGAGAAGAACUUGAUGUAGAAUACUCCUCCUUGCCUCUUGCCUUUCCUUUUCUUGCUCUCAGCUAUCAAAAGCUGCACACACACUCCUUGGGCGAACUUGACCUUCUAUAGGUUAACUGAAUUUGCCCCCAGACUUCCAAAUUUACCCCCAGGAAUUAUUUUCCGGAACUGGGAUAGCGCGACCGCACUAGUGGGCGCGCUAAUGGCCGCGCUAGUAGCCUUACCAUUCUGCCUCGACCAUCUGGGCUAGCACGGUCGCGCUAAUGGCCGCGCUAGUCCAGGCCUUCAUUUGGUCGAUUCUUUUUCUUGUCGUCUCGCUUAUUCAACUCCUAGGGGUCUUUCUUGCUUCAAUGUAGCUCCAAUCACAUCUUUAAGGCCUUAUAUAAGCUCCUCAUUCCUGCAACACAAUUUAGAGCUCAUUUUUCAUCAUUUGAUUAUAUUAGAGCAUUGAAAUAUAAUCAAGUUGGGGCAAAACAAUCGUCAAUGACAUAAAUCUAGCCUAAUAUCAACUUACUUUCCGAAUGAGGAGGUAAAUUCAGUUGAGGUAAUUCCAGAAGACACGAAUGCUUGGAAAAUCUUCUUCGACGGAGCUGUGAAUACAAAAGGUGUUGGGAUUGGGGAAAUUUUGAUUUUGCCCACUGGUCAACAUUAUCCGGCCACAGCCCGGUUUCGGUUUUUCUGUACGAACAACACUUCCGAGUAUGAGGCUUGCAUUAUGGGCAUAAACAUUGUAGUUGAUCAGGAUGUGGAAGAAUUGUUAAUCAUGGGAUAUUCUGACUUGAUUAUUAGACAAGCUCAAGGUGAGUGGGAAACUCGAGAUAUCAAGCUUAUCCCAUACAGACAACAUGUGGAAUAUCUUAGCAAGCGGUUCAAAUUCGUCGAGUUCAGGUACAUUCCUCGGUUUCACAAUGAGUUAGCCAAUGCACUAGCUACUUUGGCCUAGAUGUUGCCGUAUCCAGGCAAUGUCCACAUUAACCCACUGAAAAACCAAAUUCGAGAAAGACAUGGUUACUGCAAUAUAGUUCAAAUGGAACCGGAUAUUCAGCCAUGGUACCAUGAUAUCAAAAGAUUUUUAAAAACAGAGGAAUAUCUCGAACAAGCCAGCGGAGAUCAAAAGAGAACCAUUAGAAGGCUUGCUAGCACUUUCUUCUUAAGCGGAGAGGUCUUGUACAAAAUAACUCCAGAUUUGAACCUUUUAAGAUGCGUGGAUGCCCAAGAGGCUGGAAAAAUCAUGAAUGAGGUGCAUGGGGGAGUAUGUGGACCCCAUAUGAACGGAUACGUCUUUGCAAAGAAAAUCCUUCAAGCAAGUUAUUACUGGAUGACCAUGGAAAAGGAUUACUUCAGUUUUGUCCGAAAGUGUCAUCAGUGUCAGGUACACGGUGACCUGAUUCAGGCACAGCCUUCAGAAUUGCAUCCUAUGUUGGCGCCAUGGCCGUUUGUUGCUUGGGGUAUGGAUGUCAUUGGGCCAAUCGAACCAAAAGCUUCAAAUGGGCACAGAUUCAUUUUAGUUGCCAUUGACUAUUUCACAAAAUGGGUUGAAGCAGUCACUCUUAAAUCCGUCACCAAGAAAGCGGUGGUGGACUUUGUGCAUUCCAACAUUAUCUGUCGCUUUGGUAUUCCUACGAGUAUCAUUACCGGAAAUGAUGCAAAUUUGAAUAGUCAUUUGAUGAGGGAGGUAUGCGAAUAAUUUAAGAUCACACAUCGGAAUUGUACCCCUUAUUGGCCCAAAGCUAAUGGUGAUGUUGGAGUAGCAAAAAAAAAUAUCAAGAAGGUCCUCAGGAAAAUGAUUCAGAGUUCUAGACAAUGACAUGAAAAGUUGUCUUUUGCAUUGUUGGGGUAUCGCACAACCGUGUGCACAUCAGUUGGAGCAAAACCCUAUCUAUUGGUUUAUGGCAUUGAAGCUGUAAUACCUGCAGAAGUUGAGAUUCCCUCUCUUCGAAUCAUCGUUGAAGUUGAGAUUGAGGACAAUGAAUGGGUCAAGACUCGUCUAGAACAGUUAACCCUGAUUGAUGAAAAGCGGAUGGCCGCGGUUUGCCACGAGCAGUUGUAUCAACAAAGAAUGGCUCGUGCCUACAACAAGAAAUUGCGGCCUAGGAACUUUGAAGUGGGGCACCUCGUCUUGAGAUGUAUUCUCCCGCGUCAUAAGGAAGAAAAAGGAAAAUUCGCUCAAAAUUGGAAGGGUCCGUACAUUAUAAGAAAAUUGUUGCCAAAAGGGGCAUUGUACUUGGGAGAUAUUGAAGGAAAUGACCCCGAAAUAGCUGUCAAUGCAGACGCGGUCAAAAGGUAUUACAUUUAACCCUUCUACAGUACUGAUAUUCUCUGAUUGGGAUGACAAAGGCUUUCAUUCUCGCUACCCAAACACUGUUAACCCUUUGCAAACCCUUUGAGCCAAUUACCUUUCUUUGAUUACCCUCUUUGGAACCCAAAAAUGUUGUUAACAAAAUGAAAAGAAAAAAAACAAAACAACAAAAACAAAAACAAAAAAAAAUCAAAAACAAAGUUCUCUGAACUACGUUCGACUUGAUUCCGAAAGGAUACGUAGGCAGCCUCUUUCUGGGGUUCAGUCAUACCAAAACAAAAAUCCACAUUGUCCCAAAGUUGAAACUGGGGCAGAAGUCAUAAUGGUUCCGUGAUAGUUCGCCUGAAAGGUUCCAAAGUUGUAAUUCAAUCCAAACUCUUUUUACCCCCAAAUCAUGUUCAAGCCCUUCCGAUCAAUCGAUAAAGAUGUUCAAAAUUGGAGGAUGUGUUUACUUGGGUUUGAUACAAUUAAAUGAGAGAAAUAAAAUGAGAGAGUCUUAUUGGUGAAAAUCCACAAGAGCACCAUAGGGCGAUGGUAAGCAGAGAAAUUGAAAAUGAGAGAGUCUUGUUAGUGAAAACUCGCAAAGAGCACUAUAAGACGACGGUGAGAAGAGAAAUGAGAGAGGUUAGUUGGUGAAAGCCCGCAAAGGGCUCCACUGAUUGAAAAAAGGGAUGCCUUACAACCAUCAGUACUGAUAGAGUCCUGGCAAGGUUUCUCGGUUUUGAUGUAUUGGUUAUGAUGGGUUUAUGAGAGUUGGAUGGUUUGCACAAAUUGACUAUUUGGUCCAAGAAGCAUGUCAUGUCUAUUGAAGUUUGCAUGCACUCCAGAUAAGUCCUUCUUUCCUUUCCCCGAAAAGGACACUUCUUAUUUAAAUUCAUUAUCAUGUACGUUGUUUACUUUUCUUUGAAUCCCUUUCGCUCUAAUUCUCCUCCGAAACUAAUACAAAGAAAAGAUGGCAAGAUUGAUUUUACAGGAUUUUGUUUGACAAAAAGCUAAAAUUCAAGAAAAGCACCCAGCCUCAGCAGGUGCAUCAAGUCGACCUCGACUAGCCAUGAUGGCCGAUGCUCCAGAGUCAAAAACUCUUGAAAAAAAAAGAAAUCAAAGUCAAGUUCCCAUAAAGGCAAAAUAAGAUGAAAAAGGCCAAGCCCCACACGGGUUAGUCAUCAUGUGAAAUUUGGGAAAGGUCAAGAUUCCCGGGUGUAAAAAUGAAAACAAUUUCCAGAAAGCCAGCGAGCAAUGGAGACUUUAUUGAAAGAGCUGGGGCCAAAAUCAAGUGAUUGAAACAAUCAAGGCCACAAAACCAACCACCAUUUCAAACUGACAAAUUGUUCUUUGAUUUGAAAAUAGGAAAAAUAGGUAUAAUCCAAAACAACUCCGCAAGGAGCAGGUGCGAUAAAAGCAAAGUAAGCAAAGACCAAAACGGUUCUGCAGCAAAAGUUAACCCAAAAAGGGAAGUCCCCUCCAAACUCUUUAUAAAUAAAAUAAAAAAAGAAAAAAUGAUGAAAUCAAAAGAAAAGAAAGAAGAAAAUUCAAAAUCAUGGUAGUAUAGAGUCUCUAAUCCCUAACUGCGUCUUUCUGAACAUAGGGUCCCACUCCCUAGUUGAUUCUGGCAUAACACGAUGACUCUUCCGGCAUAACCCGAUGACUCUUCCGGCAUAACCCGAUGACUUUUCUAGCAUAACCCGAUGACUUUUCCGGCAUAACCCGAUAAUUUUUCCUGCAUAGCCCGAUGACUUUUCCGGCAUAACCCGAUCACUCUUCCGGCAUAACCCAGUGACUUUUUCGGCAUAACCUGAUGACUCUUCUGGCAUAACCCAAUGACUCUUCCGGCAUAACCCAAUGAUUUUUCCAACAAAGGGUUCCACUCCCUAGCUGAUGCCAGCAUAACCUGGUAAUUUUUUCCACUAUAGGGUCCCACUCCUUAGCUGAUGCCGGCAUAACCUGGUAAUCUUUUCCAACAUAGGGUCCCACUCCCUAGCUGAUGCCAGGAUAACCUGGUAAUCUUUUCCAUCAUAGGGUCACAUUCCUUAGUUGAUGCUAGCAUAACUUGGUAAUCUUUCCAACUUAGGGCCUCCAAUCCUAGUUGAUUUCAUUUUAGAUAUAAGGGUCCCCACUCCCUAAUCUCUUUUUUCUCAAGGAUACACAAUCCUGAUUUUAUUGCUUUCAAUAAAGAAGUAGUUUAGAUUUUUGUUACAAUAACUCACGAAAUUUUUCUAGUGAAAACUAGGGCAGAAAAAUUUCGCUUGUUUGUUUGUUUUGGUGCCUAAACAGGUUUUUACCGUAAGGAACGAGGUUUGAGAUGACCAAAAGAAGAAGUCCCAAUCCAAAUAAAAGAAAAGAAGAACAAGAAAAGAAGUGAAUUCUAAGUGUAGAAGCGGAGAAAAGAUGUGGACUGCUCAAGAUGUGAUUGAAGUCACAAGCUUUGCAUAUCCCUCCUUGAUCUGAAAAGCUAAAGAAAAGUGAACCAGCGUUCGCAGCUAACGAGCAUCAAGAUUCAGAUCAGAGUCAGGAAGAACCAGCCAAGACUCAAGAUCAAGCUUCAGAAGGUUCAUAAAUAGGAAUCCUGUAACUCGUAGUUGAUAGGCUUAGUUUUUCAUUUUUCAUUUUGGUGUAAUAAGGAGCUCAGCAAGCAGAAACAGCAGCAACAGCUGUGAAAUCACAGUUUCUCGGUAGUCCCACCUACCGAAACUUCUAGAAAUACGCUGACCUGACUCUUUUAUAGCCAAGGAUAUGUAAGCAACCUCCGAAGAAUGGUUUGAUCAGAUUUUUUCCAAAAAAUAUUUCCCAGGGAGUAUCCAAACAGGCAAAAAUCGCUCAUAAUUGCUCACUUUAUCUUUGCCCAAAAACUCUUCAUGUUUCCGAGCAAAGAGGGGCAACUAUGAGCAUGUAAUUUUUUUCCAACUAAAAGAUACUCCUACAAAAUUAAAGAGAUAGAUUUUUUUCAAACUGUUUUUCAAUUUUAUAGGAUUUUUGUAAUAUUUUUACUAAUUGUUUGCAUAUUGUGCACAUUUAAUUUUGUUAAAAUCGUGAAAAAUACCCCAAAAAUGUCAAAAAUUUCAUGUAUUACAUAUUAGGUUUUUUGUUCAUAUUUUAGGAUUAAUUGGUUAUUAAUUGCUUUAUUAAAAUGAAAAAUCACAAAAAGAUAUUGUUCAUUUUACAUUUUUUAGCUCUCAAUAUUAAAUUAGUAAUUUCUCUUCAUCAAUUUAGGAUUAGUUAAUUUUGUAAAAAUUUAUAAAUAGAUAAUUAGUUUGAUUUUACAGAUUAGAUUAAUUUAGGACUUUCAUUAAUUAAAGAAAAGAAAAAGAAAAAAUAAAGAGAGGGAAAUAGGAAGAAUAUUUGGUCUUGCUCUUAAAUUUGGCCAAUUCCUAAAUGGUCCAAUUAAUUUUAAGUGUCUAGCCCAAAAUUCGCCCUAAAUUUAACCCCCAAACCCGGUCCAAAUCCGAUCUAACCCACUAAUAAAUGAAGCGACGUUGUUUCAUGGUGCUUGAUCCCAGCCGUUGGAUCCCCUCGAUCUAACGGCUCGCAAGUUAACACCCACAAUCCUUAAAUAUGUCCGAACAGGCCCUCCCUCCCCCCUCCCCCCAAACCCCUAACACCCAGUUCAUUUCCUCUCUCAAACUCUCUCAAACGAGAAACUCUAGCCGCCCUUUUAACCCCCACCGUCUCCGCCGUAUUCCGCCUCCUGGAAAUCGCCCCACGGCGGCAGACCACCUCUAAACUAAACCAAAUUAAUACCAGACAAUCACCCUCUCCUCCUUUUUCCAUAUCUCAUAAUCAUUCCCUUCAAACAAGUCUAGAAAUUCUCAAAUCUUGGAUCUAGGAUAGAAACCCUAGUUUGCCAAAUUUGGUCAAUUUUUCUUUUGUUUCCUUCGAGUUUCAAGACUCGAUUUGGGUUUAAAACCUACGCUAAUUGAGCGUUAUCAACAAGAACGAUUGAUUAAAUUUUUGGACUCAUCUCGACGUUGUUCCAAUUUGCGAGAAUCUUGUUAAGUCAGAUAGGUACAUUUUCUUUCUUUCUUCUUUCUUUGCUUGAUAUUGUUCUUUAUUUCUCUCUUUUUUCUGGUGGUGCAUGUGUUUGGCUGCGUGUUUAGAUUAAUUAGUAUUUUUGAAAUCACUAUUAGGAUAAUUCUGAAAAUUGUUCGAAUAUGCUGAACUUCGUGAUUAAAGAAAAUAGCCUAAUUAUCUGUAAGAUAGCUUAAUUACAUAUUUUGUUUAACUCAGUCAAGUUUAGAUUAAUUAGGAUUAAUUAUUAGGUUUUAGUACAUUAUUAUUCUUGUUCUGCAUUUUUACUACUAUUUUUUUGUUGUUGUUGUUUGUUUGGAAUUCAAAUUUUUUUAUUUGUAGGUUUAAUUAGAUGAAAUGUCCUGUUCAAUUAUUGGUUUAGGUCUUAAUUUAGGAUUGCUUUAUCUAGGGCGCCUUAAUUCAGUUGUUUGAAUAUUUUAAAGAAUGAAGAUAGUAACAAAGUUUUUAGGGAUACUAUUAUAAACAAUGUUAGGAAUUUCAAAUGCUGGAAUCACCUAGAUGGUUCCAAAAGGUUCCCCAAGGGUUUUGAAAUAAGAAAUUAGGUCAAAUUGGUUUGAAAUUGCAAUAAGCUAAACUUAAAAGGGUAAAAUUGGUAUUGAUAAAUAAGAAAAAUAUCAGAAUGUUCUAGUAUGGGGCAGUUGUCCCCAUUUUUAGCAAUGCUAAAAUUGGGUGGGAAAAAUGACAGACAGCUGUUAAAAGAUGUUGUGCUAUCUGACAUUUCAAAAUUCUAGGGUAGAAUAUUCUCUUUUUAUGCUAUCUUUGUGCAUUCUAUAUAAAGAAUAGGCCAUCACUCACUCAUAGAGAGAUUAUCAUCAGCAUAUGCAUUCUAAAAGCCUCUUUGAAUACAAGGAAUUCUUAAAAAAGCACCUCCAUUUUCCUACUGAUUUCUUUCAUGUUUCUGGGUCUCAAAGGUAUAUUUAGAAGUAGAAAAUAGUUCUUUGUGGGGAUGUUUUGCUAUUUCUAUUAUUAAGAAGAUCGUUUAGCUCAACUUACCUUGGUCUUGUUGCCGUUGGUUGCUUCUGCUGCUGUUCUACUAUUUAUAGUUUUCUUUACUUCUUCUCCAAAGCAAGAGAUUUGUUUUCUAUUUGUCUAUCUUGCUGUAAUCAGGUAUUCACCUUAAAUCUGAGUUUAUUUUGACAUGAAUCAGUUGGUUUCUUUAUUUGUUCCAUGAAAAAUUCUGGUUUUUCAUCAUCAUUCUCUUAUGCUUAUUGUGUAAACUGGCAGCUCUUGACUUAAUUAAAUUCAUGUGUGUUUCUUCUGUUUAUUUGGUUUUGAAAUAAAGAAAAUUAGAAUACUUUUGCUCUACUAUUUGGUCACCUGAAUUAGUGUGGUUAUCUUGAGAGUUGUCGAACUAUCUCAUGUCAUCUUGAUUAUGUUGUGAUUUGGGUAUGUUUUCAAAGUUAAUAUUUCAUGUAUAAACUAGCUCAUUGUAAGUUGGAAAGUGACCAAGAUCGUUUAAUUCUAAAUGUUAAUAUAGAUAGCUAUUAGCAACACUUGGAGUAAGUGAUUUCAACUGUUAAAUUUUGUAUAGUUUCAGCACUAUUUGAACCUUGCAGAAUCAGUAUUAAUUCAAAAAGGUUUUACUAUAGAGUGAUUUUGUUAAAGUAUAUGGAUUUUUGUUGAGUCUGAGAAGGCUUAGUGAUGGCUACAUGGCUGUGGCUUGCUAAUCUGACCACCAGUUGGAUCAGAUUAGUGAAUAUAAGUAUAAAAGCUGGAUUUGGAGUCAUCUAUGGAAGGGAUUUAAACACAAGAUUGGUUAUGUCCUUUUCAGUUUAAUUAGCCUUAUGAACAAUCCAUAUAAAUAUUUAAGGAUUCAUGUCUGUUAUCCCUUUUGAUGAUUGUAUUAUGAUUCGCGAGAUUUGUAAAUGUUAGAAAUGUAAUUAAUUUGUCUUGCCUUAGAUCAGUAUAAAUAGUUCAGUUGUUCAUCUUCUUUGUUUCGACAUUUUUUUUCUUUAAGUCUGGAAAUUUGAAUGGAUUAAGGCAGAUUUUUCCUUAGUACUGCAUUGUUCUGAUUAGGACUUAACGCAUUGGGCUUCACUGCAAGCCCACUUGCAGUCGCGUUUUAGACCCUUUGGAGGUCAAUUGCUACUAUGUUACAGUGGUGUUAUCAUGAGAUAAAUUCUCAUUUAAAAUAAAUAUUUGAAAGCAACCUGUUUCUUAAUUUAAUUCAAUUGAUUUUUUGAAGUGUUUAAUAUUCUAACAGUCCAUAUAAGUUAGCUUCGAGAUUCACCUUGUUUAAUGUAUUCCUAUCUCCAGAAUAACUCUAUAGCUAUAGAUCUCCUUAUGCUUAGUCUCAAACCUUAGAAAAAUAAUCAAUUUAUGAACAUCCGUAGUUUGCUUUAGGCGCGUUUAUUAUAAAUCAUCGUGACUAUGGGUACGAUUCCCGUGGCAUAGUCGUGAUACAUAAUUCCUAAAGUCGGGGGUGCAUUUCAUAUGACCCGAUCCUAACAAGUUCGAAUAAUAAUAAAAUAAACAUAUCGUCAAUCGCGGGUGCAUUUCAUGUAGCGUGGUUUGCGGUGUGUUCCAAAACGGCAAGUGUACGACAAUCGUAACUUGUUCAAGAAACAAUUCCAUAAAUCCUAAAAAGAGCGUUUAAAAUAAUUAAA
rnacentral:lncRNA from 1 species